rnacentral:lncRNA from 1 species
GGCAUCAGAACUCCUUUAUUCAUCAACCUCAGCCGGGACAUGGCUAUAUGACAGCGAACACAACUACCUCACAACAUGCUGGCUUCAAUCAACCUGGACAAUCUUUUCCUGCUCCCCGGUAUCCAAGUUUUCAUAUUUAGUAUUUUCUGUAUAACAAAAACAUUAGUUUUUCAAUUAGGAAAGUAACAUUAUAGCUUGAACAUGAACCCAGCAAGAUAAUCAUAAGUUUGUAAUGCUUCAUAUUGCUUGGGAAUGAUUUUGGAUUCAGGAUUCAUUUUCUUUCUAAUCAAGGACAAGUCGGUCAAGCUGCUGUAAUUCCUAACAUAGACAAGAGAUACUGAUUGACUUUCUAGCUGUUGUGUUUUAACACAGUAUUAAUACCUUUUUGAUAAUUCGAUACACCAUUGAUUUUUAUUGCUUAAGAGAGACUACCAAAUAUUGAAAGGUUUUAUAAUAUGAUCACUUCAUUUAUAUAUAGGUCACAGAUGGAUAACCUCCAAGUCCGAGGAUUGCAAAAUCAAACUGCUAUGCCAAAUGCCUCUAAUCCUGGCCUUGGCACUUCCCUGCGAAGUCAAAAUAGGGGUUUAAAUACUCAACAAGUAAGAAGUCUAACUGAAUUAUCAUCGUCUUUUUUUCCCCUUUGAUUGUGCUAUAAACUAACUAUCAAUUUUAAUAGCAAAAUAAGGGUAACAACACUGAAGAAGUAGUUUCUCAUCCAUCUGGAUAUGGUGUAACUUGCAUUAAUUUUUAUUCUUUAUUUUGACCUACCUUUUUUUUUAUAUAGGUUGAAAUGGUUAGAUCAAAGGAUCCAUUUUGGAAUUAUAUUGAAGAUAGGACUGAUGGAAGCAUGAAGUGUAAGUUUUGUCCACGUGCAUUUGCCAAUAAAACUUCCAUUUCAAGGAUCAAAUGGCAUUUAUCAGGAGAAGAAGGGCAUGGUGUUGCCAUUUGUCGUGGGGUGCCUAAAGAAGUUCAAGAAGCAGCCUUUCUAGCUAUGUGUGGUGGCAACAAAAGACAGAAAAUCACAGCAAGUUCAGUCAAUGUUAAUGAUUGUGGAAUUUCAACAAUGGAAGGAGGAAUUGGAAGGGUACAAAGAGAAGUUCAGGUUGUAGAACCCGGAGUAGUGGAAGAGAGGAUUUCUUCACAUGCAAUAGCAGGAAACGACGUAGUAAGCAUGACCGGAAUGAGAGCACCAGAACAUGGAGUUUCCGAAGGGGCACUCGAGAGCAGACCGAGGACAGAUCCCGUGGAUCGAUCGUUGGAACAAAGCAAUGCAGUACUUGGCAAUUUGGAAGGGGGUGCUGGAAGGAUACAAGUGGGAGUUCAGGGGGUGCUGGAACAAGGUGCCGGGGAAGAGAGAAUUAAUCGGGUUAUAGUGAGGACAGAACCAGUGGAGGAGGAUGUGGAGAAUAGUCGAAGAUCAGUAGUGCAGGCUGGCGCAGGAGCUAGAUCUUCUGAAAGUCUGAAAUACAACAAGACUAGAGGAGUUCCAUUACCUACUAGCUCUAAAAAGCCAGUGGGUCAAGUAUUCGAAGAGAAUACGAAGGUGAUAUGGUCUUUGUUAAUGGAUGAUAAAGUCUCAAUCAUUAGCAUUUAUGGGAUGGGUGGGAUUGGUAAAACAACAAUACUGCAACAUAUCCAUAAUGAGCUUCUACAAAGACCAGAUAUUUGUGAUUAUGUUUGGUGGGUGACUGUGUCUCAAGAUUUCAGCAUUAAAAAAUUGCAGAAUCGUAUUGCUAAACGUCUUCAUCUAGACCUUUCAAGCGAAGAUGAUGAACUACAUAGAGCUGGCAGAUUGUCAAAAAAACUAAAGAAGAAACAAAAAUGGAUUCUUAUUUUAGAUGAUUUGUGGAACUAUUUUGACCUACACAAAGUGGGAAUUCCUGAAAAGUUGGAAGGAUGCAAGCUGAUUAUGACAACUCGAUCAGAAACAGUUUGUGAAGGGAUGGCUUGCCAGCACAAAAUCAAAGUGAAGCCACUUUCUAAUAGAGAAGCUUGGGCUUUGUUUAUGGAGAAACUUGAACGUGAUGUAGCACUUUCACCAGAAGUGGAAGGAAUUGCGAAAGCUGUUGCAAAGGAAUGUGCUGGUUUACCAUUGGGAAUUAUUACAGUGGCAGGAAGCUUGAGGGGAGUGGAUGACUUACAUGAGUGGAGAAAUACAUUGAACAAAUUGAGAGAAUCAGAAUUUAGGGAAAAGAAGGUAUUCAAGUUAUUGAGGUUUAGUUAUGAUCAAUUAGGUGAUUUAGCACUACAACAAUGUCUCUUGUACUGUGCAUUAUUUCCUGAAGAUGAUAGGAUUGAAAGGGAGGGGUUGAUAGGUUAUUUGAUUGACGAGAGAAUAAUUAAAGGAAUGAGGAGCAGGGGAGCUGCAUUUGACGAGGGCCACUCGAUGCUUAAUAUACUUGAAAAUGUCUGUCUAUUGGAAAGUGCUCAAAUGGAUUAUGAUGAUAGAAGAUAUGUCAAGAUGCAUGACUUGAUUAGGGACAUGGCCAUCCAACUACUGCUAGAGAACUCUCAAGGGAUGGUUAAAGCAGGUGCACAAUUAAAAGAGUUGCCAGAUGCAGAGGAGUGGACAGAGAAUCUGAUGAGAGUUUCACUAAUGCAAAACGAGAUCGAAGAAAUUCCUUCCAGCCAUUCACCAACGUGUCCCUAUCUAUCAACUCUAUUGCUAUGUAAAAAUAAUCUGUUGGGAUUUAUUGCGGAUUCAUUUUUCAAGCAAUUGCAUGGGCUCAAGGUCCUCGAUCUGUCUUGGACAGGUAUUGAAAAUUUGCCAGACUCUGUCUCUGAUUUGGUGAGUCUCUCUGCGUUAUUGCUCAAUGAUUGUGAGAAGUUAAGACAUGUUUCAUCAUUAAAGAAGCUCAGGGCACUGAAGAGGUUGAAUCUCUCUCGUACUGCACUUGAAAAGAUGCCGCAAGGAAUGGAAUGCCUAACCAACCUGAGGUAUCUUAGAAUGAAUGGAUGUGGUGAAAAGGAGUUCCCAGUGGGAUAUUACCAAAACUCUCUCACCUGCAAGUCUUUGUACUAGAAGAGUUAAUGGGGGAAUGUUAUGCUCCGAUAACAGUUAAAGGAAAGGAAGUACGAUCCUUGAGAUAUUUGGAAACUUUGGAAUGCCAUUUCGAAGGUUUUUCUGACUUCGUGGAGUAUCUCAGAUCUCGGGAUGGGAUCCUAUCAUUAAGCACAUACAAAGUUUUAGUAGGAGAGGUGGGUAGGUAUUUAGAGCAAUGGAUUGAAGAUUAUCCAAGUAAAACAGUUGGGUUGGGUAAUUUGAGUAUCAACGGAAAUAGAGAUUUUCAGGUCAAGUUCUUAAAUGGCAUUCAAGGACUGAUUUGUCAAUGCAUCGAUGCAAGAAGUUUAUGUGAUGUUUUGUCAUUGGAGAAUGCAACUGAACUGGAGCGCAUCAGCAUUCGGGAUUGCAAUAACAUGGAGAGCUUGGUUUCAUCUUCUUGGUUCUGCUCUGCUCCACCACGUAACGGUACGUUUUCUGGUCUUAAAGAGUUUUUUUGUUAUAAUUGUGGAAGUAUGAAGAAGCUGUUCCCGCUUGUGUUGCUGCCAAACCUCGUAAACCUGGAAAGGAUUGAAGUGAGUUUCUGUGAGAAAAUGGAGGAGAUAAUAGGAACAACAGAUGAAGAAAGCAGCACCUCCAAUUCCAUCACGGAAGUCAUUCUCCCAAAGUUAAGAAGUCUGGCAUUGUAUGUGUUACCAGAACUGAAAAGCAUUUGUAGUGCAAAACUGAUUUGCAAUUCUCUUGAAGAUAUUAAGUUAAUGUAUUGUGAGAAGCUGAAGAGGAUGCCAAUUUGUCUUCCGUUGCUUGAAAAUGGCCAGCCAUCUCCUCCCCCUUCUCUUAGAACAGUCUAUUCAUGGCCAAAAGAAUGGUGGGAGACAGUAGUGGAGUGCGAGCAUCCUAAUGCAAAGGAUGUCCUUCGUCCCUUUGUAAAGUAAUAUAAUAUAGUGUGCUUACAAUUACAUAAAUAACAUUGUUCAUUUUUUUUAUUUCAUUAGUCAUAUUUUUGUUAACUCGAUAGAUAAAUAAUUAUAAUUUGAAGUUUGAUUAAUAUUAUAUUUUUAUCCUCAUUGAAUUUCUCCAAGAUGAAAAUCCAAAAAAUAAAAAAAAUACUAUAUUGAUUUAUCACUUAAGUAACCUAAUAAAAUAAUAAAUAAUCAGUGAAAGUAUUCUUCUACACACAUUUUUAAAAUGUCUAAGAGAGAGUAUGAAUAUGGCAGUUUUGGUUUCUAAACCUGAAACUGCCAUAUUCAUAAACACAUUUUUUAAAUAACUGAAACUUCUAAUACCAAAUUUAAUACUAAAACUAGAAAGUAGCAUAGGCGUGAUUUUUAAAAUUUUGAUCCCUUUAAUUUAAAUUUUUUUAAAAAGUCCUAAAAUCUAGGCAAUUUGUUUUUGACACAACCUGGGAUUAAAUAUAAUUUUUAAAUAUUUUUAAAUAGUUAAGAUUAAAUAAUUUUUUAAUUUAAAACAAUUCAAUUUCAAUAAAAUAUCAAAAUAUUAUGAAAUUAAAAUUAAUAUUUAAAAGAAGGUUUAAAGGUGGUUUGCCCAUUUAACCAAUACCCAUUUAAAACGCAAUAGCAAACUGGGAUUAAGCAACACAGAAUUAAUCAAAUAGUUUUUUGGAUAAUGAUAAUUUUGUUGGGCCACGGAAUUAGGUCACUGAAGAACUUUUUAGUAAAGGAUUAAUUACUAUGCUCUUAUCCACACAAUCCUUCAUCACCAUCCAAUCCCAUCACUGGAAAACUUAUCCUCUUUGAUCUCAAUGCCCUUCUGCCAUCCCCAAAUAUAUGCUUUUAUCCCUUUUCCUUUGUAUCUUGUCGUUUGUGUCUUUGUCCACUGGCUUAAGGGUGUUUAGUAAUUCUACAUACGGUUUUUUUAAAAAUAUUUUUCAAAUAUAAAUAUAUUAAUAUAAUGUUUUUAAAUUUUUUUUAAUACUAACAUAUUAAAAUUAUUAAAAAAAUAUUUUUUAAUCUAAAUACAUGCAAGCAAGAUGAUACAUAAUUCCUGCAUUUAAAAAAACACAUUUAUUAAUAGAGUGUUUGAAAAAUAUAGUACCAGUUAUUUUUUAAUUUGUUUUUUUAUAAAUAUAUUAAAAUAAUAUAUUUUUUUAUUUUUUAAAAGUUAUUUUUAAUAUGAUUAUAUGAAAAUAAUUUAAAAAUAUUAAAAAAAAUAUUGAUUUAAAAUUAAAAAAUAAUAAUUUUUUAAAAAUAAAACUUUUAAAAAAUAAAAAUAAAAAUAAAACACCAACCCUGACAUUAACCCAAUGUGAACCCAAUGACCUCAUCAUUUCUUUCUGUACAUUUUGCGUGUGUUAAAGGACGCUCCUAAGGCCAAGCUCAUAACAGGACACACGUGUCUAUCCAUACAAAAAUUGGUAUUAAAAAAUGUGUUGACACCAUUCGCUCUCUCCCUUUCCCACCUUCUUUCACUGUAUGUGUGUAUUAUUUAAGAAUGUGUGUCACCCGUCGUACCAAACCUCAAAUUUUAUUGAUAUUCACGGUAGGUUAAUUUGGUUGUUAAUUUUAGAAUUUGUAGAAAUUAAUAAAGAUAUAUAUAAGCUGGUUUGGAUAUUUUAUAUAAAUAAAAAAUAUUAAAUUUUAUUUUUUUAAUUUAAAAUUUGAUAUGUAUAACACAAUAUCUUAACUUAUUCUCAUCCUUUAUCUUUUUUAAAAAACAAAUACAUUAAUCAUGACGAUAAAUCCUCUUAACAAUGAGUAUUACAUUUAAUUCCAAUGCAUGUAAUUUUUCAAAUAUUAUUCUUUAUGUGGCAAUCUCAUUUAAUAAAUAAACUUUAUGUUUAUUAUUUGUGCUAUAUAGAUGUGUUUUCUCAAAUAAAUUGAGGUGCGUAUAAAUAGAAAGCAUCAUAAUAAAUAAAAUCUUUUUAAAAAUAAUAUACUUCAUAAUGGAAUUAAGUUUCAUUUUCAAUACAUGAUCCUUGAAUUUAAAUGAUAGCAUACUCUUAGUUAAAGGAUUUAUGAUCAUCAAUUCAAUAUAAAUGCGCUUAAUGAUGACUUUUUUUUCCUAUGUUUACUUUGACUACAAUUUUUAUUAUUCUUGGCCUUCAAAACAACAAAACCGAUUGACGUGCUGCUGGUAUUUUCAUUGUGUAUACAUGGAUGCAAGGUGUACGUAGAAACUUUUGGUAAAAAAGAGGGGGUAUACUUAGCAUGAUCUUGUUUAAUUGAUAAAAUGUUUUAAUUAAUAAAAGAAUGACGAGUUUCAAAUCCUACUAUAACCAAUUUGAUCUUGUUUUUUUUUUUUUUUUUUUGUCAAAGUACCUUGUGGGUCAGAUUGGGUUUUGACUGGAUAUGGUUACUGAAUCUCUUAUUUGGUUAAACUUCAAAUCUAGCCCAGCUUUCAUGUCAAUCUACUAGGUCUAGAGUUGAAUUUAUUAAUAUGAAAUAUUUCUUUUUUAUAUAGUGUGCUUACAAUUACAUAAAUAAUAUUUUUUAUUUGUUUCAUUAUUUUUUAAGACUAUUAAUGAAUUGUCAUAUUUUUUUUAACUCGAUAGAUAAAUGAUUAUAACUUGAAGUUUGAUUAAUAUUAUUUUUCAUCCUAUUGAGUUUCCCCAAGAUGAAAAUCCAAAAAAAAAAAAAACUAUAUUGAUUUAUCAUUAAAGUAACCUAAUAAAAUAAUAGAUCUAUUCACUAGUACAAAUCAUGCAUCUAAUAUCAUUAACUAGCAAUAAAUUAUUUUUUAAAAUAUAUAAUAAAAAUUACCAAGAAAAAGAGAGAGAGAAGACACUUUAAAAAAAUAAUAACCAAGUUACAUGACUUGAAAUUUUAAAAAUUUUAUAAGAAUAUAUUUAGAAUAAAAUUUCAUACCUUUAUCUAUUUUUCUCAUGUCAUCUUAGUCUUAUUCGGAGGAAAAAAAAUUUAAAUUCAUUCUAUUUUUUUAAUUUUCCUUAUGAUUUUUAAAUUUUUAUUUUUAAGCUUUUUAGGUUUUAUGAACAAUAUAAGAAAAACUAAAAAGAUUGGUUAAUCCACUGUACAUGAAGACACAUGUUCCUAUGCAUUAUAUUAAGGAUUUGUUUAAGAGCGUGAUAAAAAUUAUAUUGCAAAAUGUGUUUUUAUUUAGAAAUAUAUUAAAAUAAUAUAUUAAAAUUUUUAAAUUUUUUUUAAUAUUAUCACAUUAAAAAAAUAGAAAAACACACAAAAAAAAAUAAUUUAAAUUUUAUUUUUUCCAAAAUGGUAAUGAGCAUUUUUCCAAUCUGUUGGGGGUGAUGCUGGUGGGCUUGGUGUUGCCUCAUGUAGCUUUCCAAAGUUUUAACAUUACAGUUAAUAGCUCCAAUUCUUUUGCACAUUACCUUGCUUUCAUGUAAUAUUAUAUUAUUUAUUAUACAUGUAAUAUUUUCACAGCAAAGAAUAUUGUAAUGUUAAAUACGUACACGUAGAACUUCACGAGAUGGGGUAAUCGGUUAAGCACGUCAAACAAUCAUAAAAUCCUUGUUCUUCUGCUUUCAAGAAUGUAACAAUAAAAUAAUAUUUUUUUAUUUUUUAAAAUGUAUUUUUAUUCAACAUAUCAAAACGGUACACAAAUAUAAAAAAUUCAAAUUUAAAUAAAAAAUAAAAUUUAACCAAUACCCAUUUAAAACGCAAUAGCAAACUGGGAUUAAGAAACACGGAAUUAAUCAAAUAGUUUUUUGGAUAAUGAUAAUUUUGUUGGGCCACGGAAUUAGGUCACUGAAGAACUUUUUAGUAAAUGAUUAAUUACUAUGCUCUUAUCCACACAAUCCUUCAUCACCAUCCAAUCCCAUCACUGGAAAACUUUUCCUCUUUGAUCUCAAUGCCCUUCUGUCAUCCCCAAAUAUAUGCUUUUAUCCCUUUUCCUUUGUAUGUUGUCGUUUGUGUCUUCGUCCACUGGCUUAAGGGUGUUUAGUAAUUCAUACGGUUUUUUUAAAAAUAUUUUUCAAAUAAAAAUAUAUUAAUAUAAUGUUUUUUUAAUUUUUUUUAAUACUACAGCAUCAAAAUUAUUAAAAAAAUAUUUUUUUAUCCAGUACAUACAAGCAAGCUAAUACAUCAUUCCCGCAUUAAAAAAGAACACAUUUAAUAAUAAAGUGUUUAAAAAUAUGGUAAUGGUUGAUUUUUAAAUUGUUUUUUUCUUAGAAAUAUUUUAAAAUAAUAUAUUUUUUUAUUUUUUAAAAAUCAUUUUUAAUAUCAUUAUAUUAAAAUAAUUUAAAAAUAUUAAAAAAUAAUAUUUUUUUUAAAAUAAUACUUUUAAAAUAUAAAAAUAAAACACAAACCCUAACCUCAAUAUUAUGUGAACCCAAUGACCUCAUCAUUUCUUUCUGUACAUUUUGCGUGUGUUAAAGGACGCUCCUAACUCCUAAGGCCACGCUCAUUUUUUUUCCCUGUUUGUGGGACUCCAAUUUAUUCUGAACUCUUGUCAGUCUUGACACCUUUCGCUCUCUCCCUUUCCCACCUUCUUAUUCAAUUAUUCAAUUCAAUUAGGAACCUGAUAGGAGUUGGAUUUUAAGUCUAGAUUUUGAUUUAUUAUAUAUUUUUUAAAUUGAUUUUUUUUAUUUUCUCCAUUAAUAUCUUUCUUUACGGGUAAAUAAAAAAACAUAUUUCAUUAUUCUUUUUUAGAAGAUAUUUGGAAUCAUUUGCUGGAUCUAUUUUCUGUUUUUAUUUUCAAAUUUUGAAAUGACUCCUCAGGAAACAAUUCCAGCCACUUAUUUGUCAUGAAAUUUGGAUGAUGUAUAAUUCCAAGUGGGCAUGCUGCAUUUCUUAGCCAGGUGUAGCAAGAAUUGAGGUAGCUUGUUUCUGGCUUUUGCUUCUCGGGGUAUGAUUUGUUGUGUUUUCGUUUUUUUUGCUAAUUUAUCUAAAUAUGAACUUUAAAAUCUUUUAAAUGAAACUAGCGUUCUUGAUUUCUAGGCGGUAGAUAUAACAGUAAUAUUAUUAAAAUGAAAAUAAAAAUAAAUAAAUAAAUAUGCUCAGACUUUUACCAUGUAGCAAUAGAGAAAACACGGCGUCUCUCUGUUUUUUUUUAAGCAUUUUUGUUUUUAAUUUCAUUAUAAUAAUUUAUUUCAAAAAGCUUAUUAUGAAGCUCUCACAGUUUAAGAAAAAACAUUUCAAUGUAGAGUUGAAGCUCUCACAGACAAGUCAAGGCCCAGGACUAGGAGUCGUGAAAUUCACUUUGAACCAGCCUGGACGCACUUAAAAUAGUAAUUCUGUUUUCUUAAUUUUACGAAUAAUUCACUCAAGGAGAGAUUGCUUAUAGAACUCCCUUUUGUUCAUCAGAAUAAACAAAGGGGGAUUUGGGAUAUAUGCAUUACAAAGAUGCGGAGCUUUGUCCCUUCAUAUAAACUCUCAUAUAUAGAAAUCAUCGGAUGAGGAAAUAGAUCGAAACAUAGCUAAUUAAUAGUAUAUUAAAGUAAUAUAAUUUUAGAAGAUGGAAAUAUUAUGAGAACCCACUAAUUAUAUGUAUGCAAAAAAACAAUCAAUUUUGAAUAAACUUGCAAAACCAGGUGUUUGCUUUGGCUUAAGGAAGUGCCUUCUGGUUUUUAGCACCAAAUUAAAAGAGAGGUGUGCAUAUAUAUAAGAAACUUCACAGAUUAAAUUGACCAGAAACUCUAAUUGUUGUCAUGAUUAAUUGCAUGUAGAAAAAUCCUGACAAUAAAUUUUUUUUUGUUUUUAUUAUUUAUGUUUUGGUUCUUUAGUAAUAAGGGUAUGAUCGAGGACCACACAACCCAUUUCACUGAUCACAAAUUCAAGAGAAAGGAACAGUACAAGCAAUGGACAAGGAGAAACAGACGACCAUACAAAUAAGAGUCGGGAGGCCGAAUGUAUUGGGGCAGCCACCUCUCUGUUUUUAAAAAAGCGUAAGCGUGUGCUCCUCUUCUCGGUCAACAGUCAAAACUAUUUUAUUUCUUAAACUUUACGCAGCACGGGCCACUUUUCUUGGCUUUUUGCUCAGAUGAUUUUUGUAUUAUAGCUCUUUUUAUUAUUGUUAUUAUUUCAGAAAAAUAUCCUGAACUGGAAAAUAAAAUGGAGCUGCUCGUCUCGCAACAUGUGAUCCUCGUAGGGCUUAAGUCUAACCAGAUUCACUGAUCAAUAAAGAAAAUUAUCAUUGUAACAAUUUUUUUAAAAUAUUUGUUAUUAAAAAAUAUAUUAAAAUAAUAAAUUUUUUAUUUUAAAAAAAUUAUUUUUUAUAGCAACAGAACAGUAUAUAAAUAUAAAAAUAAUCAAAUUUAAAUAAAUAAAAUAAAAUUUAACCAAUACCCAUUUAAAACGAAAUAGCAAACUGGGAUUAAGAAACACAGAAUUAAUCAAAUAGUAUUUUGGAUAAUGAUAAUUUUGUUGGGCCACCGAAUUAGGUCACUGAAGAACUUUUUAGUAAAGGAUUAAUUACUAUGCUCUUAUCCACACAAUCCUUCAUCACCAUCCAAUCCCAUCACUGGAAAACUUAUCCUCUUUGAUCUCAAUGCCCUUCUGCCAUCCCCAAAUAUAAGCUUUUAUCCCUUUUCCUUUGUAUUUUGUCGUUUGUGUCUGUCCACUGGCUUAAGGGUGUUUAGUAAUUCUAUAUACGGUUUUUUAAAAAAUAUUUUUUAAAUAAAAAUAUAUUAAUAUAAUAUUUUUAAACAUUUUUUAAUACUAACACAUUAAAAUUAUUAAAAAAAUAUUUUUUAAUCUAUUACAUACAAGCAAGCUGAUACAUAAUUCCCACAUUAAAAAAAGAUAUUUAUUAAUAAAGUGUUUGAAGUUGUUUUUUAAAUUAUUUUUUAUUUAAAAAUACAUUAAAAUAAUUUUUUUUAUUUUUUUUAAAUUAUUUUUAAUAUCAUCAUAUCAAAAUAAUCUAAAUAAAUUAAAAAAUAAUAAUUUAUUUUAAAAAAUACUUUUAAAAUAUAAAAAUAAAACACAAACCCUAACCUCAACCCUUUGUGAACCCAAUGACCUCAUCAUUUCUUUCUGUACAUUUUGCGUGUGUUAAAGGACGCUCCUAAGGCCACGCUCAUAACAGGACGGUGGAUGAUUACGACCAGAACAAGGGUUUAUCAAGGAUCGGAAGAGGGCCAGGAGGGUUUAGAGGACACGUGUCAAGUCUUAUCAUAAAGGUUAAAAGGUGAUUCAUGAGAUUAAGCAAGUCCUUUGAACCAGCCGCCAUCUUUGACCCUCUCCUCUGGAAUACCACUACGGGCCACAAUAUGGAUCCUUUUUUGUUUCCUGUCAAUUAUUCAAUUCAAGUAGGAACCUGAUACGAGUUAGAUUUUAAGUCUAGAUUUUGAUUUAUUAUAUAUUUUUUAAAUUGAUUUUUUUUAUUUUUCUCCAUUAAUAUCUUUCCUUACGGGUAAAUAAAAAAAACAUAUUUCAUUGUUCUUUUUAGAAGAUAUUUGGAAUCAUUUGCUGGAUCUAUUUUCUGUUUUUAUUUUCAAAUUUUGAACUGACUCCUCAGGAAACAAUUCCAACCAAUUAUCUGCCAUGGAAUUUGGAGGAUGUAUAAUUCCAAGUGGGCAUGCUGCAUUUCUUAGCCAGGUGGAGCAAGAAUUGAGGUAGCUUGUUUCUGGCUUUUGCUUCUCUGGGUAUGAUUUGUUGUGUUUUCGUCCUUUCUGUUAAUUUAUCUAAAUAUAAACUUUAUAAUCUUUUAAAUGAAAUUAGCGUUCUUGAUUUCUAGGUGGUAGAUAUAACAGUAAUAUUAUUAAAAUAAAAAUAAAUAAAUAAAUAUGCUUAGACUUUUACCAUGUAGCAAUAGAGAAAACAUGACGUCUCUCUGUUUUUUUUUUAAGCAUUUUUGUUUUUAAUUUCAUUAUAAUAAUUUAUUUCAAUAAGCUUAGCAUGCUUAUUAUGAAGCUCUCACACAAUAUUAUUAAAAUUNNNNNNNNNNNNNNNNNNNNNNNNNNNNNNNNNNNNNNNNNNNNNNNNNNNNNNNNNNNNNNNNNNNNNNNNNNNNNNNNNNNNNNNNNNNNNNNNNNNNUUUUAAUAUUAGCACAUCAAUAUCAAAACAUUAUAGGAACACUAAAACAAAUUUAAUUUAAAAUAAAAAAAAUUUAAAGUUUUAUAAAAAACAAGGUUUGACUGCACCAUGUCUCAGUCAUAUAAGUUGAUAUAUGUGUUUGGAUGGGAGGUAAAUUGUGUUUUUUUAGGUUAAAAGUAUAUUUUUUUAGCUUUUGAAAAUAUAAUUUAUACUUAAAAGAUUUUAUAUCUUAAAAAAAAAAUACAACUACAUCUUCGAGCCAAACACGUGCUUGAGUGAUUCUUGGCAAUCAAUUCCUGGAUCAAGACGAUAAGGUCCAGCCAGAGGUAAAACCUGAUGCAGCUACCGACUUAAAUAUUUUCAUUUAAGGAAGUGCAGCGUUUGUGUCCCGAGAGAAGCCACCAGGCAAAUACUAAGAUCAUUUUUUAUUUUAUAAUGUAAAUGUAUUUUUCAAAAAAAAGUUAAAAUUUGUUUUAUUUUAAAUUAAUUUUUUUUAAUAUUUUUAAAUUAUUUUAAUGUAUUAAUAUCAAAAAUAAAUUUUUUAAAAAAUAUUAUUUAUACAUAUUUUUAAAUAAAAAAUACUUUAAAAAUCAAAUCUCAUUUCAAACUGGCAGUGCCCUGUACCAAACUAUAUUAUCAACAAGAUUUUCCUCGUAUGAAUUAAAGCAUUCUGCAUUUGACACAACUUGAAAAACAUGUUUCUUCUUAAAUUAUUAUUUCCAUGUGUUUUUUAAAAUCUAAAUAUUUGAGAAUUGGUGGGGUUGAUUUUGUUAGCUUGAUAUGCUUUCGUCUUUGCUAUCCAUUUUUUUUUUGGUUACUUUUGUAUGCUUUCCUCUGUUGCUAAUAUCCACCUCAGCAAGUAGCAUCUAGUUAUAAACACCUUGGGUAUAUUAGUAAAAUAGAAAAACAUUCAUUAUAAUUUGUCUCACAAAAAUUUCAAGGUUAAGUAAAAUCACUCUGCUCUGAUAGACACACUCAAAUGCAGAAAGAUAAAAACUACCAAAUACACCUUAAACCCUGUUUAUUUUUAUAUUUUAAAAAUACUUUUAAAACAAUUUAAAUGUUAGACUGGUUUAUCUUUACAAUCGCAAUGUGUUUUUAAAAAAUAUAUUUUUAAUAUUUUUUAAUUAUUUUGAUAUUAUGAUAUAAAAAAUAAAAAAUUUAAAAAAUUAUUUUAAUAUAUUUCUAAAUAAAAAAUAUUUUUAAAAAAUAUUUACAGCAUGCAUAAAUAUACUAUUCUUCUUAGAAAAUUUCAUGUGUUUACAUUUUCUUGGCAGCUUCUUCGAAGUUUCAACAUUGGUGGGGGUCCACACGUUAACUUUUUAUAUCUUAUAAUAUAAUAUGUGUGUUUGGUAGUGAUAAUUUUUUUAUUAAUUUUUUUUUAAAUAUACAUUAUAUUUUUUUAAAUUAAAAAUAUAUAUUUUUUAUAUGGCCAUAAAAAAAAACCAAAAUAAUCUCCAAACACUCUCAUGUUUGGUAGGUGAGCGGUGGGUUGCUUCCUGACAACGUCCUUACUAUCAGGCAAUACGUUAAUUAAUUAUUAUUUUAGCUGAUUAUUUUAUUUUUAAUUUUAUAUUCAUGGGAAUUUGAGGUUAAUAAUUUAUUUUAAUUAAUUAUGAAGUUCUCAAGGUAAAAAAAAAAAAAAGCUUCAACGAUUAAUUUAAGUUGGUAUUUGAUUUGAUAAAAUUUUAUUCAAUUUAAUUUAUUAAAAAUAAUUGAAACUUUGAACAUCAAAUAUGAUACUGAAAUAAAAAAGCAGCCUGUUGUGUUUUUCAAAAUUCUGUUCCCUAGAGUUUUUGCAUUUUGCAUUUUAAUUUUAAUUUUUGAUUUUUAAUUUUAAUUCAAAAUUUUAUUUUAUUAAUUUUUUAAUCUAUGAAUUUGAGAUAAAAAAUCACUAAAAAACUCGGAAAAAAUGGAAAAUUAUUGGCCGACAAUUUUAGCAACAAAAAAACACGAUAAUCCUUGUAUUAAUGGAAAACUAGUGUGCAGAUUGGAUAUCAAAUCAUACUUUAUAGGUCGAGGGCUAAAAAUAUAAAUCUGUAGAAGGGUGUUGGAAAAAAUAAUAAUUUCCAUUGGUGUGGAAAAGUUUAAAGUUCAGAUAUACUAUUAUAGAAUAAGAUAAUUUGAUGGUGUAAUAAUUAUUAUUUUUUAAAUUAUUUUUUUAUUUAAAAAUAUAUUAAAAUAAUAUUUUUUUAUUUUUUAAAAUUUAUUUUUAAUAUUAAAAUGUCAACACAAAAUGCACAUAGUUGUAAAACAUGAUAGGAGGAAGUUUGAGUCAUAGAUUAAGAGAGGCGUUUUAUUUUUUUUUAAAAAUCAAAAUAAUAUUAUUUUAAUAUUUUUUUUUAUAAAAAAUUAAGGAAUUAAAAGCUGAGUAAAUCAAGUUAAGAAAUCACUUAGAUUCUUGAUUAAAUCAGCUGAUGACCCGUUAACUUUGGCAGGUAUACAUUAAUUUAUUUUCUUGGCAGGUUCUUCGAAGCGUCAACAUUGGGGCGGGUCCACACGUUAACUUUCUAUAUCUUAUAAUGUAAUAUGUUUGGGUUGCUUCCUGGCAACUUCCUUCCUUCCUAUCAAACAAUACUUUAAUUAAUUAAUUAAUAAAUAAAUAAUAGUAUUUGUAACAUUCGCUAGCGGCUGUAACAUUCGCUUCCACAUCUCCUCUCAUUAUAGAAUUCUCUACUUUCCUUUCCACAUCUCAUGAUCAGUGCGAACUAGAUUUAUGUAUGCUGCAACUUUAUUAUUUUUCUAAACCAUACAUUCUUCUCUGAUCUGUGAUUUCUCUUCCUUUUCUUUUGGCUGAUCACUGCUUAAGCAAACCAGCACUUGAAGAACAUCUUGAAUCCAGGCAAAUUAUUUGUCAUUCAUCUUGUCUGAAUCUUUAAAGUAAUCCAUGAUAAAUAGAUAGAUCUUUUUCUCAGAUUUUAUAAUCCAUGCCCUGUGGUGUUCAUACUGAUUAAAUUAACCCCAAACGUUGAAUUCAUUGUUUUCGUCUUUUCAAGAUUCUUUGCUGUUUUUAACUCCUUAUUUUAGAUUCACCCUUUUCUUUUCCAAUUAAUGGGACUGCCAUUGAUUUUUAAUUAAUAUUUUUCGACUUUUGUUUCUUACAAUGAUUCAAUGAAUUAACUUGAUCGGUAAUUACCUUUCAAUAAACAAAAUAAGAAUAAUUAAAAAAGAAUAAAUAGGAGUUGAAAGAGGUUUGUUUAACAGUAAACAAUGAAUCUUGCAUUUGUUUUGCUCCCCAAAUUAUGAAUAAAGAGGAGUUGAAAGAGGUUUCUGUUCACCCCGUCAAAACAAUCAGCUCUUCUACCUUCAACAGUUAUCCUGCAUCUUUCUAUCUAUCAUAAAAAGAAUUUGAGUAUGAUAAUUUAUCUUAAAAGACAAAGGAUUAAAUCAUUAACAACAACAUUUAUAUUUCAUAUUUUUCAUCCGAAUUUCUUUAACAAACAAGAAAGUCAUAUAUAUAUAUAUAUAUUCUUUUCUGAUCUGUGCUUUCUGUUCUUUUUAGACCUCAGUUUUUUUUGUCUUUUCUGAUCUUUUCUGGUCAGAUGGAAGGGUUCCAACCAUCUUUUAUGGAGGAGGUUGACAACAUGACAUGGGAUCAGCUGGGUUUUCAAUCAGAAGAAGAUACAUUCAAUAUGUCUGAGCUUCUCUCGUACGUCAUUCUUAAGCAUAUUUUAUCAGAAGAUGAUUGCUUGCAGUUUAGUUAUUCUUCAGUUUAUCCUAUUAUUCCCAAAAAACAAUAUAAUGUCGUCACUGUCCAUGGAAGCAGGCCGCCACCGGAGGUUCCAGUCAACCAAAGCUCCAUAUCAUGCAAUGAUCAAGGUGGACAGAACAAUUUGAUCAACGAUAGUAUUCAACAAACAACUCAGUUUCCAACUUCAUUUCCUGAAACAAUGGUGAGUACUCCAAUUUGCUACAAUGUCCAUUGAAUUAGCAAGUGUUUGUAUUAUACAAAAAAGUUUUAUGUUUAGUGUAUCGAUCUCGAGCAUCUUCAAAUUGUUUACUGUUAAACAAAUAGACAACAAUUGGGAGAUUUAGACAUUUUUUAUGAUAUUUUUUUAUCAUUAAGUUUUAUAUAAAAUUGGCCUCAAACUCCAUCAAGGCAUCAUAAUUCCUUUAUUCAUCAACCUCAGCCGGGACAUGGCUAUAUGACACCGAACGCAACCACUUCACAACAUGAUGGCUUCAAUCAACCGAAAUUUUCUAAAUAUGGACUUUAGAAUCCUUCUUGAUUUCUUGACGGUAGAAAUAACAGGACUAUUAUUAAAAUAAAAAUAAAUAAAUAAAUAUGCUCAGACUCUUACCAUGUACCAAUAGAGAAAACAAGGUAGAUGUCUCUCUGUUUUUUUUUAUAAAGCAUUUUUGUUUUUAAUUUCAUUUGAUAAUUUAUUUCAAUAAACUUGUUAUGGAGCUCUUGUGGUCUAAGAAGAAAAAACAAUUCAAUGUAGAGUUGAUGUUUGACUUAACAAGAUUUUGUUCAAUUUAAUUGAUUAAAAAUAAGUGAAAUUUUGACCGUCAAAUUUGAUAUUAAAAUUUUGAAGAUAAAUAUUGAAGACUGAAUUUGAUAUUAAAACUAAAAAUAAGUAGAAAGUUUUUACAAAGGUAAAUGUUAUGAAAAGAAAUUGCUAUCCAACUGGUGUGCAGAUUGGAUAGCAAAUCAAGCUAUGUUGAAGUUUUCUACUGCAGUGAAGCUCCCUCUGGUUGCUUGAAGCUAAUGCCUGAUUGUUGCGUUCCUGGGAUUUUGAUAAGUGUAUGAAAGUCUAUUUUAUCAUUAAUUUGUUUUUAUGUUUUAAAAAUAUUUUAAAAAAAUUAAUUUUUUAUUUUAAAUUUAUUCUAACUCUUUUGUUUUAUCAUUCUCAAAGUCCAAACAACAACGGUACUGUCAAGAUUGUUAUGUUUAUGCCCGCAAUCUAAACGUAAUUUGUUUUUGUACUCAGAGUUAUGUUUAUUAAAAAAUCUGGUUAUUUUAAAAAAAUAUUAAAUUAAUAUUUUUUAAUUUAUUAAUAUUAAAAAUAAAAAAAUAUUUUGAUUACUCAGAAUAAAUAAGAAGCUUUAUAAUAGUUAAGAAACGUAUUCCAAAGUUUAGUUUACUGGUUGACUCACAUAUUAACUGAAUAACUUGAGUAAAAAAGAAAACCACAUCAUAUUAUGAUGGUAUUUAUUAAAAAAUAAAAAUAAAAUAACAAUAUUUUUUUUUAAUAUUAUCUUUUUAAAUAUUUUUAUUUUAAAAAAGUUUCACAUAGUUGUAGGUAAAAAAAAAAAAAAGAUGUUUUAAUUUAGCAACGAUGGAGCAUCCACAAGAAAGAUAUUAUACGGUUAUUAAUUUUCAUUAAAAGAAAAGCUAAGAGACUUGGGAGAACUACUUCAUUGUAAAUUACAAUAGUACGCAAUUCAAGGUGUUUUGCCUUUUUUGUUUUGUUUUUUAAAAUUUGUUUUUGUUUAUUUUAUAAUAGGCUGGUUAUAAUUCAGCUUUAAUUUAUUAAUUUUUAUUCUAUUUUUUUAUAAGAUUAACGUAAUUUAUAGGUUUGUUAAAAUAACUCAAAUUAUACUAGUUUUCAGAUUUGGUGGGAUAUUUUUUUGUUUAUUAAUUAAAAGAAAAACUAAAAGGUAUAAGAGAAUCACUAUUUACCCACACUCAAUUCAUUAUAAAUUACAAUAGUAAUCUAUAGUGUUUUGUCUUUUCCCUUUUUUUCCUUUUUUUUUAUCAUUUUUAAAAAUAAUUUUUUUGUCUAUUUCAUAUUUGGGCCGAAUUAGCAUAUAUAUAUAUAUAUAUAUAUAUAUAUAUAUAUAUAUAUAUUGGGUUGGUGUUUAAUUUUACAAGUAAGUAUCUAUUUUUGUUAUCAUAUUAUUAAAUAAAAAUAAUUUUUUAAAAAAGUAUACUCCUAGUUAAGUCCAUAACCUUGUUCAUGGGUUAGAUGUGCUAGCCUAAGUUACCUGAUUCACGAGUUUGACAGGUUUAUCAAUUGAUCGAAUAUGUUUUUUUUUCUAGUCUUUUAAUUUUUUUAAUUGAUUUUUUUUAUAAUUUUGUCCUUCAAUAUUAGAUUGGUUUGGAAAUAGACUAAAUGAUUUAUUUUUGUUUGCUUUCUAUAGGGUUAUCAAAAUCUUAAAUAAAUAUUUAUUUUAGGGAUGAUACUCAAUUUUAUGAGCAUUUAUUUUUAUCAUAUAAUUAAAUUAAAAAAAAACUUAAAAAAAUUACUAAACCCAAUAGAAUCCAUGACCCAGAUCGCGAGGGACCGGGAUCGAUCAAAUUUGUCAUUGUUUCAAUUUUUUUUUUUUAAAAAAAGUUGUUGUCUAGAAGUUUUUAUUAAAAAACUAAGCCAUGCUUUACUAGUUUUCUAAGUUGUAUUUAGAUAUUAAUUGAUUUAAAUUGAGUUAAUUUCCAUACAAUUUAAUUAAAAACUUAAAUUAAAUAAAAAAUUAGAUUAAAAGAUUUUAAUAUCAACUCCCCUAACCAGGUUUAAUAAUAUCGCCAACAAACUUUCUUCACUCUUAACAUUUUAUUUUUAUAUUUUUUAAAAAUUAAUCCCCUAAAAAAACUAUGACAUAUUAUUGAGUGUAGGUUUUGUUUAUUAAAAGUAAGGAUUGAGUCUUUGACUGCAUGUAAUGGCAUUGACUGAAAACCUUUAAUCACAUGCUAUUAAUCUGUUAUUGUUAGAGCACAUGCUUUUCAAAAACUUUGAAUUAUUUUCCUUUUAAAUUAUUAUUUUUUUAUUAAAAAUAAAUUUAAAAAAUAAAAAAAUUAUUAUUUUAAUUAUUUUAAAUAAAAAAUAUUUUUAAAAGAAAAGUAUAUUAUUGUUUCUCAUAUUCAUGUGUUUACAUUUUCUAGGAAUCUUCUUCUAAGCUUCAUAAUUGGGUAGGUAAAGUAGUGUUUUUAACUCCUUAUUUUAGAUUCACCCUUUUCUUUUCCAAUUAAUGGGACUGCCAUUAAAAUAUGCUUUUCACCAUUUAUUUGUUUUUCUUUUAUUUUGACUUACGUAACGUGUGUACCCAGCAAUCCACUCGUGUGUGUGUCUAUAUAUAUAUAUAUAUAUAUAUAUAUAUAUAUAUAUAUUAAUUUGCUAUGUGCUUUCUGUUCUUUUUUCACCUCAGUAUGUACUAAUCAUCUUGUACUUUUGGUCAGAUGGAAGGGUUCCCACCAUCUUCUAUGGAUGAUCUUGAAUCACUAUUUCUCUCGUACGUCAUUCUUAAACAUAUUUUAUCAGAAGAUGAUUGCUUGCAAUGUAGUUAUUCUUCCGUUUAUCCUAAUAUAUUAUUCCAUGGAAGUAGGCCGGCACCGGAGGUUCCAGUCAACCAAGGCUCCAUAUUAUGCAAUGAUCAAGGUGGACAUAAGAAUGUGAUCAACGAUAGUAUUCAACAAACAACUCAGUUUCCAACUUCAUUUCCUGAAACCAUGGUGAGUACUCAUGCUUACUCCAAUUUGCUACAAUGUCCAUUGAAUUAGGCAUCAUUAUUCCUUUAUUCAUCAACCUCAGACGGGACAUGGCUAUAUGACACCGAAUGCAACCACAUCACAACAUGGUGAAUUCAAUCAACCUGGACCUUCUUCUCUUGCUCCCUGGUAUCCAAUUUUUCAUUUUAGUAUUUUCUGAAAAAAAAAAAAAGUUUUUCAAUCAUUAUUUAACUUCUUCUUCUUCUUCCUCUUGUUGUUGUACUUAUCAGUGAAUUCAUUAUGUUUGAAUAUAGGUAUCAGCCUAAUCCUAAUUUAUUUGAUCCUCAAUGUGCCAAUCCUUUGAGGUAAGCUAAAAUGAUAUCAAAUACUUAGUGGAUUAAUAGCAAAGAAUUAUGCAUAUGUAUAAAGAAAUUACUAACAAGUGUUGCUAAUUUAGGGACCAACAAUUGACUAAUUAUCAGUUACCAAUGAGCAAUCAAGUGCCUGCGAUGCUACCUGGACCUCAUCCUCCAAUGAAUCAAUGGUAUUAACCUCGAAUAUAUAUACACUUUUUUAAUCAUGAAAACAAUAAACCAAAAUUGACAAGGAUCUUUCAAGUCUUUCUGAGCUCUCUCUCUCUCUCUCUCUUUUUGUGCACAUAAUGGAACUAGAAAAUCAACCAAGUUAGAAUAACAGUUCUAAGUUUAACUAUUUGAAUAUUAUUCAGGCAUCUGAACUCCAAGAAUUUAGUUUUUCAAUCAGGAAAGAAACAUCAUAGCUUGAACAUGAACCCACCAAGCUAAACAUAAGUUUGUAAUGCUUCAUAUUGUCUGCGAAUGAUUUUGGAUUCAGGAUUCAACAUUUUCCUAAUCAAGGACAAGUCGAUCAAGCUUUUGCAAUUCCUAAUAUAGACAAUAUGCAACAGGAGAACUUCGUGCCUCAAAACUUUGACAACUCUACUAGGUACUGAUCAAACUUUGGCAAUAUAUAUGCUGUCGUGUUUUAACACAGUAUUAAUACCUUUUUGAUAAUUAGAUACACCAUUGAUUUUUAGUGCUUAAGAGAGACUACCAAUUAUCGAAAGGUUUUAUAAUAUGAUCACUUCAUUUUCAUAUAGGUCACAGAUGGAUAACCUCCGAGUCCGAGGAUUGCAAAAUCAAACAGCUAGGCCAAAUGCCUCAAAUCCUGGCCUUGGCACUUCCCUGCAAAGUCAAAAUAGGGGUUUAAAUACUCAACAAGUAAGAAGUAUAACUGAAUUAUCGUCGUCUUUUUUCCCCCUUUGACUGUGCUCUAAACUAACUAUCAAUUUUAAUAACAAAAUAAGGGUAACUUGAUCCGUUAAUUUUUAUUCCAUAUUUUGACCGAUUUUUAUUCUAUAUUUGACUUCUUUUUUCUUCUAUAGGUCGAAAUGGUUGGAUCAAAUGAUCCGUUUUGGAAUUAUGUUGAAGAUGGGGCUGAUGAUGGUAGCAUGAAGUGUAUGUUUUGUCCACAUACAUAUGCCAUUAAAACUUCCAUUUCAAGGAUCAAAUGGCAUUUAUCAGGAGAGAGAGGGAACGGUGUUGCCAUUUGUCGUGGGGUGACUAAAGAAGUUCAAGAAGCAGCCUUUCAAGCUAUGUGUGGUGGCAACAAAAGACAUAAAAACACAGCAAGUUCAAUCAAUGUUAAUGAUUGUGGAAUUUCAACAAUGGUAGGAGGUAUUGGAAGGGUACAAAGAGAAGUUCAGGUUGUAGAACCCGGAGUAGGGGAAGAGAGGAUUACUUCACAAGCAAUAGCAGGAAACGACGAAGUAAGCAUGACGGGAAUGAGAGCACAAGAAGGUAGAGUUUCCAAAGGGGCACUCGAGAGCAGACUGAGGACAGAACCAGCGGAUCGAGCGUUGGAACAAAGCAAUGCAGUACUUGGCAAUUUGGCAGGAGUUCAGGGGGUGCUGGAACAAGGUGCCGGGGAAGAGAGAAUUAAUCGGGUUAGACAGAGGACAGAACCAGUGGAGGAGGAUGUGGAGUGGAGGAGGAUGUGGAGAAUAGUCAAAGAUCAGUGCAGGUUGGUGCUGGAGCUAGAUCUUCUGAAAGUCUGAAAUACAACAAGACUAGAGGAGUUCCAUUACCUACUAGCUCUACAAAGCCAGUGGGUCAAGCAUUCGAAGAGAAUACGAAGGUGAUAUGGUCUUUCUUAAUGGAUGGGGAUGUCUCAAUCAUUGGCAUUUAUGGGAUGGGAGGAGUUGGUAAAUCCAAAAUACUGAAACAUAUCCAUAAUGAGCUUCUACAACAACCAGAUAUUUGUGAUCAUGUUUGGUGGGUGACUGUAUCUCAAGAUUUCAGCAUUAACCGACUGCAGAAUCUUAUUGCUGAACAUUUUGAUCUAGAUCUUUCAAGAAAAAAUGAUGAACUGCAUAGAGCUGCCGAAUUGUCAGAAAAAUUAAAAAAAAAACAAAAAUAGAUUCUCAUUUUAGAUGAUUUGUGGAACAAUUUUAAGUUACACGAAGUGGGAAUUCCUGAGAAGUUGAAAGGAUGCAAGCUGAUUUUGACAACCCGAUCAGAAAGAGUUUGUCAUGGAAUUGCUUGCAAUCACAAAAUCCAAGUGAAGCCACUUUUUGAGGGAGAAGCUUGGACGUUGUUCAAGGAGAAUCUUGGACGUGACAUAGCACUUUCAUUAGAAGUGGAAGGAAUUGCGAAAGAUAUUGCAAAGGAAUGUGAUGGUUUGCCAUUGGGAAUUAUUACAGUGGCAGGAAGCUUGAGGGGAGUGGAUGACCUCCAUCAGUGGAGGAAUACAUUGACGAAAUUGAGAGAAUCAGAAUUUAGGGAUAUAGAUGAGAAGGUAUUCAGGUUAUUGAGGUUUAGUUAUGAUCGGUUAGGUGAUUUAGCACUACAACAAUGUCUCUUGUACUGUGCAUUAUUUCCUGAGGAUGAUCAUAUUAAAAGGGAAGAGUUGAUAGGUUAUUUGAUCGAUGAGGGAAUAAUUAAAAGAAAGAGGAGCAGGGGAGAUGCAUUUGAUGAGGGCCACACGAUGCUUAAUAAACUUGAAAAUGUCUGUCUAUUGGAAAGUGCUAAAAUGGAUUAUGAUGGUAGUAGAUGUUUCAAGAUGCAUGACUUGAUUAGGGACAUGGCCAUCCAAAUACUGCUAGAGAACUCUCAAGGCAUGGUCAAAGCAGGUGCACAAUUAAAAGAGUUGCCAGAUGCAGAGGAAUGGAUGGAGAAUCUGACGAGAGUUUCAUUAAUGCAAAACGAGAUCGAAGAAAUUCCUUCCAGCUAUUCACCAAGGUGUCCCUAUCUAUCAACUCUAUUUCUACGUGAUAAUGACCGGUUGAGAUUUGUUGCGGAUUCAUUUUUCAAGCAAUUGCAUGGGCUCAAGGUCCUCGAUCUGUCUUACAAAGGUAUUGAAAAUUUGCCAGACUCUGUCUCUGAUUUGGUGAGUCUCACUGCAUUAUUGCUCAAAGAGUGUGAGAACUUACGUCAUGUUCCAUCAUUAGAGAAGCUCAGGGCACUGAAGAGGUUGGAUCUCUAUUGGACUCCGCUUAAAAAGAUGCCGCAAGGAAUGGAAUGCCUAACCAACCUGAGGUAUCUUAGAAUGAAUGGAUGUGGUGAAAAGGAGUUUCCCAGUGGGAUAUUACCAAAACUCUCUCACCUGCAAGUCUUUGUACUAGAAGAGUUAAUGGGGCAAUUUUCUGAUUAUGCUCCGAUAACAGUUAAAGGAAAGGAAGUACGAUCCUUGAGAAAUUUGGAAAGUUUGGAAUGCCAUUUCGAAGGUUUCUCUGACUUCGUGGAGUAUCUCAGAUCUCGGGAUGGGAUCCAAUCAUUAAGCAAAUAUACAAUUAUAGUAGGAAUGGUGGAUACAGAUAAGUGGAUUGGCACUUGUGCUUUUCCAAGUAAAACAGUUGGGUUGGGUAAUUUGAGUAUCAACGGAGAUGGAGAUUUUCAGGUCAAGUACUUAAAUGGCAUUCAAGGACUGGUUUGUGAAUGCAUCGACGCAAGAAGUUUAUGUGAUGUUUUGUCAUUAGAGAAUGCAACUGAACUUGAGCUCAUCAGAAUUGAGGAUUGCAAUAACAUGGAGAGCUUGGUUUCAUCUUCUUGGUUCUGCUCUGCUCCACCACCAUUGCCAUCAUAUAAUGGUAUGUUUUCUAGUCUUAAAAUGUUUUAUUGUUAUGGAUGUGAAAGUAUGAAGAAGCUGUUCCCGCUUGUGCUGCUACCAAACUUCGUUAACCUGGAAAGGAUUGUUGUUGAGGAUUGUAAGAAAAUGGAGGAGAUAAUAGGAACAACAGAUGAAGAAAGCAGCACCUCCAAUUCCAUCACGGAAGUCAUUCUCCCAAAGUUAAGAACUCUGAGAUUGUUUGAAUUACCAGAACUGAAAAGCAUUUGCAGUGCAAAACUGAUUUGCAAUUCUCUUGAAGAUAUUGAUGUAGAGGAUUGUCAGAAGCUGAAGAGGAUGCCAAUUUGUCUUCCGUUGCUUGAAAAUGACCAGCCAUCUCCUCCCCCUUCUCUUAAAGAAAUCACGGUAUAUCCAGAAGAAUGGUGGGAGACAGUAGUGGAGUGGGAGCAUCCUAAUGCAAAGGAUGUCCUUCGUCGCUGUGUAAGGUUUUGGUAGGAGGAGACUCCUCUGCUGCCCUUAAUAUAAUAUAAUAUAAUAUAGAACAGAGGGUAAGCAUCAUCUCUCUCAAUCGAAUUGUACCUUUCGUAUUGUUAAUCCUUUCGUUGUUAGAAUACUUCUUUGUUGCAUCAUUUAUCAAUUCUAUCCUAAUGCAAAGGAUGUCCAAAGGACCUUUUUCUCUCGAAAUAAUUAAUAUGUAGAAUGGUUAAUUACUAACCAUUACUCCGUUAAAUGUAAUAAUACGUAUCCUUCUUUUAUUAUAGGCUGGUUUAGAAUUCAGCUAAGACAUCUAAUAAAAUAUUUUUAUUCUUAGAAAUUUUGUGAAGAACAAUCAGAAAACUAAUUUAAUUAGGGAUUAAUUGAGUAAUUAAUUACCUUAACCUUACAGAGGAUUUUCUUUUAAAAUCCCAAUAGCCUGAUUCUUGGAUCACAGAAGCUUGAGACAUGGCAUUCUAACAACUUCACUUCAACUUUAUUUUAUAUUUAUAAUAAAUAAAAAGCAUGACUGUGUUGAGAAUCUAUUUUCUGUUUUUAUUUUUCAAAUUUGAGAUGACUCCUCAAAAAACAAUUCCAACCAAUUAUUUGCCCUGGAAUUUGGAUGAUGUGUAAUUACAAGUGGGCAAUAGGUGGAGCAGGAAUUGAGGUAGCUUGUUUCUGGCUUUUGCUUCUCUGGGUAUGAUUUAUUGGGCUAGUUUAUAGGAUUUUUGUCCUUUCUGUUAAUUUUAUAUUAAUUUUUUUAAUUUUUAAUUUAAUUAUUUUUUUGUGUUUUCAAAUUGUUUUGAUGUGUUGAUAUUAAAAAUAAUUUUUUAAAAAUAAUAAUAAAAUAUUAUUUUGAUACAUUGCCAAAUAAAAGAUAUUUUGAAAAAUAAUUGAUAUUGUACUCUCAAACAUCCUUAAAUGCUCUAUUAUUGAAAUAAAAUGCUAAAAUGUGAAUAGAAAUAAUAGAAAUUAAUGUGUAUUUUUGAAUUAAAUUUCUAUUUACUUUGAUAUACUCUUGAACAGGUCUUUAUGUUUGAUUUCAGAGUUUAUAGAAGAGCAAGUCAAGGCCCAAUCAAAUUCAAAGGAGUCGUGAAAUUCACUUGAAACCAGCCUGGAUACACUUAAGUAUUUUAAUCACAACUUUUCACUCACAUAUCAGAUUGCUGUGAUUCUUGACGUGUUGGAAAGGUGUCUUAAAGGGCUACAAAUUAGCCUCUAAUGAGGAUUUCGAAAGAAGAACUCCUAAAGCAUGUACACGGGGAUCAUGGAGACGUGAUGAAAAAGGAGGGCUGCUUCCUUUAGAAAAAGGGAUAUUUGUUGGCAAUUGCGCCAGAGAAAAAAAAAAGAAAAAAAAAGAAAAAGGAGAGCAGGCAAGGAAAGGAAUGGCUAAUACAGUGAUGUGUAGCGAAAUUGUUCAGAUUUCCAAUUAUUCCAACUCUUUUGUUUUAUCAUUCUCGAAGUCCAAACAACAACGGUACUGCCAAGAUUGCUAUGCCCGCAAUUAAAAUAUAAUUUAUUUUUAUUUUUGGAAUUAUGUUUGAGUGCAUUUAAAAAUCUGUUUAUUUUAAAAAAAUAUUAAAUUUGAGUGCAUUUAAAAAUUUGUUUAUUUUAAAAAAAUAUUAAAUUAAUAUUUUUUAAUAUAUUAAUAUUAAAAAUAAAAAAAAUAUUUUGAUUACUAAUAACGAAUAGUUAAGAGACGUACUGGUUGACUCACAUAUUAACUGAUUAACCUGAGUAAAAAACAAAACCACAUCAUAUUAUUUAUUUAUAAAAACUAAAACGAUGGUAUUUAUUUUAAAAAAAACUAAAAUAACAAUGUUUUUUAAAAUAUUUUUAUUUUAAAAAAGUUUCACAUAGUUGUAGAUAAAAAAAAAUAUUUUAAUUUAGCAACGAUAAAGAAUCCAUAAGAAAGAUAUUAUACAGUUAUUAAUUUUCAUUAAAAGAAAAGCUAAGAGACUUGGGAGAACACCUAUUUAUUCACACCUAUUUCAUUGUAAAUUAUAAUAAGUAAUCUAAUGUGUUUUGUUUUUUUUUUUUGUUUUUUUUAUUAGUGGGCUGAUUUAAAAUUCAACUUUGUAAUUUAUUUAUUUUUAUUAUGUUUUUUAUAAGAUUAAUAUAAUUUACAGGUUUGUUAUAAUAACUCAAAUUAUAUUAAUUUACUGAUUUAAUAUUUUAAAAAAAUUAAUCCAGCACGGAAAAACACUAGCCACCAAAACUAGCACUAGGUUUUGUUCAUUAAAAGUAAGGAUGGAGUCUUUGACUAGCACUAGGUUUUGUAAAGCAAGGAUGGAGUCUGUGACUGCGUGUGCCUCUAAUCAGCAACAGAUUGGUAACGGCAACGAUUGAAAACCUUUAAUUUGUCUUCUAAUUUUUUCCCUAUUAGUAAUUGUUACGUAAUCAGAUUCGCUUCAUGUUCAAUAAUUGUUUUUUUAUUUUUUAAAAUUUAUUUAUUUUAUUUUUAAUAUUAAUAUAUUAAAAUUAUAAAAAAACAUUAAAAAAAUCUAUUUAUCUUUUUUAAAAAACAACUAAAAACAAAAGCAAUCACCUGCUCUUAAUUAAUCACAUCUUUAAUAUUUAAAACAUUGUUAAAGCACACGUUUUUCAAAAACUUUGAAUUUUUUUCUUUUUAAAUUAUUAUUUUUUUAUGAAUGAUGAAAAUAGUCCUUUAAAUCAACAAGGAUAUUUUUAUUAAUUGAUAUUAAAAUUACUUGCAUGAUGCUUUUGGAUUAAAGAUGCUCAAUGGUUGGAUUUGGGUCGGUUUGAAAUUGUAUUGCCAAUUCCAUAUUUCAAAGAAAAAUCGAAGCCUAACAUGAAUUCAUAGAAAGAGCGUUUAUUAAUAUGAAAUAUUUCUUUUUUAUAUUGUGUUCUUACAAUUACAUAAAUAACAUUUUUCAUUUUUUUAUUUAUUUCAUUAUCUUUUUAAGACUAUUCAUAUAUAUAUUUUUUAACUCGAUAGAUAAGUAAUUAUAAUUUGAAGUUUAAUUAAUAUUAUAUUUUCAUCCUAUUGAGUUUCUCCAAGAUAAAAAUCCAAAAAAUAAUAAAAAACAAUAUAUUGAUUUAUCAUUAAAGUAACCUAAUAAAGUAAUAUGUCUAUUCAUCAGUACAAAUCAUCUUAUAUCAUUAACUAGCAAUAAAUUAUUCUUUUAAAAUAUAUAAGAAAAACAAAUUAAAGAGAGAAGACAAUUUAAAAAAAGAAUGACAAUCGAAUUACAUGACUUGGAAUUUUGAAAUUUUUAUAAGGAUAUAUUUAGAAUAAAAUUUCAUACCUCUAUCUAUUUUCCUACUACAAAAAUUCAUUCUAUUUUUCUACAUUCGUCAAGAUUUUUUAAUCUGUAUUUUUAAGUUUUUUCUGUAUUUAUAGAAACAAAAAAAAAACUAAAAGGAUUGGUUAAUCAACUCCUCAAGAUUUUUUAAUUUGUAUUUUUUAAGUUUUUUUUUUGUCUUUAUGAACAACAUAAAGUUGUUUUUUCUGUCCAUUUACAAAAAUAUAUAUCAAAAUGAAGUUUUCUACUUAGUGCCUGGUGGUUUUGUCUGAAUAAAAGGGAUAGAUGCUAAGUUCUGAGUUCAAGGAAGAGAGACAAAAAGUGGAAGGGACAACUGUGUCGAUUGUUCUCUUGAUCUGAGCUUAUUCUGUAUCAUUUUGUUGGCUGCAUUAAUUAUACCUUCACCUCCAUACGCAACUCCUCUUCAUCUCUUAAUGUUAAUAAAAAUGUAAGAAUUUAGGAACAUUUUCACAAUGAAGAUUAACUCAUCUCCAUAGCAUAAUACAGGAAAUAGAAGAUCCAUUCAUUUCAUCGCAUCUCUUCGAACAUUCUUGAAUUCUGGUCAAUCCAAAUCACAACAAAUAUCGUAAACAUGUUAAAAGUAUUCUUCUACCUCAAUGAAUUUCAGUAAAACUACUACACAGAAGAUGAGUUUUGGUUUCUAAACCUGAAACUGCCAUCAUAAGAACUAGCUAGGGAAGUUAGGAUGAGCUUUUCUUGUCAUUAUAUCACUUUUUUCUGCUAAGAUAAUGCUCUCUAUAUUCUCUGCUACUAUUGCUUAUAAUUUUCUUGCCUCUGGUAUCUUUUCCAACCCAUUUGAGGGAUGCUUGUCGAAUAGAGUUGACCUAGGAAUCCAGAAGUUAUUGGUGACAGAGGAUUUGGAUCCUUUUUCGAGAAAAAGUGAGUUGAACUGUUACAUUUUGUUUACAUUAUCUUGUUGCACUAAAUCAAGAAGUUUACUAGACUUUUUAUUCUGUAAAUUUGCUUUCUGAAUGCUGAGCAUUUUAAACGACCAUGUGAUCGGAGAGAUUUGAUUCUCAUAUAAUUGUUGGCAGCUUAUUUGUGAGCCAAGAAGUAUUAUUGAAUAAAAAUACUUUUAUUCUUUAUUUUCGGCUGGAAAGUGAAUUGAACAUUUAUUAGCUGAGUUUUCUUCUCCAUUUUAUUGAAUAAAAAUGAUUUUUUUUCUGAUUUUAUUAAGUUUUUUUAUAAGCCUGAUAAUUUGUCAGGUAAUUUUAGUAGAGUCAUUACCUAUGUAUGCUGGUCAAAAGUCAUUCCCAUCAAUAAGAUGGAGUAGCAUGAACAAUUUAUUUAUUUAUUUGUGGUUUCUGCUAACGAUUUGUUUGAUGAUUAAUAUCGAUUUAUUUCCACUUUCAUAGUAGCCUAGGUGUGUUUUUUCCGGAAUGGUUAUGAGCAUUUUUCCAAUCUGCUGGGGGUGAUGUUGGUGAUUUUUAAUCUUGGGCUUUUGGCGAGGCUUCACGCUGCUACCUUUUUCGUUCAUGAAUUUGAGAUUAAAAAAAUCACCAAAAAGCUUGGAAAAAGAUAAAAAGUUAUUGGUUGAUAAUUUUUCAACAACAAAAAAACACGAUCUUUGUAUUAAUGGAAAAAUCAUGUGCAGAUUGGAUAGCAAAUCAUAAGCAUAUGUUUGGAAUUAUAAUAGCGGUUAUAAGAUAUUAAUUUGAUAAAAUUUGAUCGAUCCAAUCAAACUUAGUUUAUAUCUGAUUAGAUUAAUUAAAAAAAUAAAAUGAUAUUAUUUUAAUAAAAAUAAUUAAUUUGAAUUAACUUAAUAAAUGACAUAUAAUAUUAAAAAAUUAUCUUAAACCAAAAAAUUUAAACAGAUUUAAAAAUAUUAUAAUGUUACUUUCUCAUAAUUUAGUAAGGAUUUGGAAGAUAUAUAUUCAAAAACAAAUUUUAUCAUGAAAUUAAGUUAUUUAAAAAAUCUGAGUCAAUUAGAACAUUGUUUGGUAAGGUGAUGGACCAUAACAAAAACAUUAUUUUUUAUGUUUUUAUUGGCAAAAUAAAGGUAUAACCAUAUUACAUCAUGUUGCCAAACAAACACAAAUCUUGAAUUUUAUUUUUAUUUGUUUUUUUUUUUAAAUUGAAAAGGCAAAUAUACUAUCAUGGACUAAGAUAAUAUUUGAUAUUGUAGUAAUGAUUUUUUUCAAAGUAUUUUUUGUUUGGAAAUUUAUUGAAAUAAUAUUUAUAUUUUAUAUUAGUAUAUCAAAAUAAUGCAAAAAUAUUAAAAAAAACAUUAAUUUGAAGCCAAACAAAUAAUAAGAAUAUUUUCACCUCGGAUUGUAUCUCUUCAUCUUUAAAAUUGUAUCUAAAAAAAUAACUAAUAAAGUGUAAUUAAUUAAUCUAAUGCUGGAAUUAUUAUUUACCCUGGAAUUUGGAUGACGUAUAAUUCCAAGUGGGCAUGCUGCAUUUCUUAGCCAAUGAAACUAUAAUUUCUUCAUAAUUUUUCAAGUUCCAACAAUAAAUGUAAUUUUCGAACUAUUAAAUAUAUUAAAAUCUUAAAUGAUAACUUGAAAAAUAAAAUCAUUCAUCAAUCAAUUUAAGAUUUCUACACUGUAAUUUGUUAAUAUUAGUUAAAAAAAAUAUAAAUUUUAUGUAAAUAAAAAUAAUUUAAUUAACUGGUGUGGUGAAUCUCACUUCAUAACGAAUUCAUAUAUCGGUCCAAUAAAUUAGGUCCAAUUUAAUUAACUUGUGUGGUGUAUAUAUAUAUAUAUAUAAAAAUAAUCAUCAAUAGUUUUGACAUUAGAAGUCAAUUCACCAACAACUUAAAAAUUCAACCUCUUUAAUAAAAAUACUUUUUAUAUUAAAAAAGUUGAAUUUUCCAUGAAUGAUUGGUGAGAGAAUUUUUAUUGAUUUCAUAUAAUAAUAAUAGUUUUUUUUGUAAAAAUGAUACCGAGAAAAAAUAAUCACAAGUAUACAAGACAAAAUUCAACCUCUCCACAUUGAUGUGUUAGGUUGGAAUCCUUAAACUGUUUUUGCCACAGUUCUUCGACUAGGUUUUAAGUUUAGAUUUUGACUUGUUAUAUAUUUUUUAAAUUGAUUUUUUUUAAAAAAAUCAUUAAUAUCUUUCCUUACGGUAAAUAAAAAAAACAUAAUUCAUUCUUCUAUUUAGAAGAUAUUUGGAAUCAUUUGCUGGAUCUAUUUUCUGUUUUUAUUUUCAGAUUUUAAAAUGACCCCUCGGAAAACAAUUCCAACCAAUUAUUUGCCAUGGAAUUUGGACGCUGUAUAAUUCCAAGUGGGCAUGCUGCAUUUCUUAGCCAGGUGUAGCAAGAAUUGAGGUAGCUUGUUUCUGGCUUUUGCUUCUCGGGGUAUGAUUUGUUGGGCUAGUUUAUAGGCCUUUUGCACUAGGGUUUUUGUCCUUUCUGCUAAUUUAUCUAAAUAUAGGCUUUAGAAUUUUUUUAGAGUGUAUUUGGUAUUGCGGUAGUUGUUGUGGUUGUUGUUUAAAAAAAAUUGUUUUAUAAAAAGUACUUUUAGUUGUGAUUGGUUUGAAAAAAUAGGUGUUUGGUUAAAACUGUGGUUGAAAUUGAGGUUGAAGAAAAAGUAGUUUAAUGUGUUUGGUUAAGAAUGUUUUUGAAAUUGAGGUUAUAAAAUAAUUUAAAAAAAUAUAAAUUAAUAUUGAUGGUUUUUAAUUUAAAUAUUGUGGAUUUAACUAUUGCGGUAACAUUAUGAAAUAAAUCAUACUUUAUAUAUAAAAAAAUUUAUUGUUCUAUUAAACUAUCUACAAUUCCAUUACGUACAAAAUUUAUCUGACAAGAAAUACAGUUUCCAUAAUUUUUUAGCGUGUAAUAAAAUUAGAUAAAAUAUUAUCAUGUAUAAAAUUCACUCUAAAUUAGUUUUUUUAAAAAAAAUUAACAAAAAAAAAAACUUAACACACUAAAAAAAAUAAAAUAAUAAUAAUAAUAUUCACGCAGUGCAAGUGAACAGUGCAAGAAAAGUGCACUGUUCACUAUUUUUAACAUGAACAGUGCACUUUUCGUGCACUGUUCAUGAACAGUGCAUCAUUUUGCGCUGUUUAUGUUAAUUGCAUUGUUCAUUGAACAGUGCAAUUACGUGAACAGUGCAAAAAAAGCAUGUAAUUCUUGCUUUGCAAAUACUGCGUUUCCAACGCAGAAAACAGGUGGGACCCAGUGAACAGUAAACUGCUUUUUUUAGUAACCAAACGGCUACAACUGUGUUUUAAAAAAAACACAGCCGCAGAGCCGAACGGGCUCUUAAUGAAACUAGCGUUCUUGAUUUCUUGGCGGUAGAAAUAACAGGACUAUUAUUAAAUUAAAAUUAAAAUUAAAAAAAAGUCAGCUCAGACUUUUACCAUGUACCAAUAGAGAAAACACGGCGUCUCUCUGUUUUUUUUUUAAGCAUUUUUGCUUUUAAUUUCAUUAUAAUAAUUUAUUUCAAUAAGCUUAUUAUGCUUAUUAUGAAGCUCUCACAGACAAGUCAAGGCCCAGAGUCGUGAAAUUCACUUUGAACCAGCCUGCACGCACUUAAAAUAGUAAUGUUGGGGAGAUGAUUUUUAAAAUUUUGAUCCCUAGAGUUUUUGCAUCUUUUAUUUUUAAUUUUAAUUUUGAUUUAAAAUUUCAUAUUAUUCAUUUUCAUGUUGUUCGUUUUUUGGUUCAAGAUGAAAGAAAGAAAGCAACAAAAAAAACUUUGAAAAAGAUAAAAAAUUAUUGGUCGACAACUUUCCGGCAACAAAAACACGUACAGUAUCUUCGUAUCAAUGGAAAACCGGUGUGCAGAUUGGAUAGCAAAUCAAGCUUCACAGUAGAUGUUGAAGUUUUCUACUGCACUGAAGCUCCCUAUGGUUGUUUGAAGCUAAAGCUUGAUGGCGUUCCUGGGGUUUUGAUGAGUGCACGAUAUUGCAUUCUAAAUGUUCUAUCAUUGGAAUAAAAUGCAAAAAUGUGAAUAAAAAUAAUUGAAAUUAAAGGGUAAGUCAAGGUCCAGAGUCGUGAAAUUCACUUUGAACCAUCCUGGACGCACUUAAAGUAGUAAAGUUUUUUUUUCUUGGAAACAGCCUGAAUGCACUUUUAAGUACUUUAAUCACAACUUUCCACUCACAUGUCGGAUUGCUGUGAUUCUUGACGCGUUGAAAAGGUUUCUUGAAGGGCUACAAAUUAGUCUCUGAUGAGGAUUUCAAAAAAAGAAGAACUAAAGCAUGUACGUCGCUGCCACAGAAGUCCUAAAAUCUAGGUUUUGAUGAAAACGUGUGGACCAUGGAGACGUGAUGAAAAGUGGGGCUGCCUCCUUUAGAAAAAGAAAUCUAGGUUAACUUGAUUAUGUCGUGAACAGGAUAUUAAACCGAAAUAACUCUAUAAAAUAAUAAACAAAAUCAUGAAACUCACCUCAUAUCCUAAUAUUAAAAAAUAUUGAAAAAAUAUAAUUUUUUAAAUGAAAAAAAAACUAAAAGUAAAUCAAACUAAUUUUUGAAACAUGUGACUCGGGUUUCACCUUCUGCUAUCUGCCUAGCAGUGAUAUAAAACGAUUUGAGUCCAUAUUGGAAGGAAUAGCAUCCACGAGGAAGUCCAAAUUAAUUAAAUGCGUAGGCCUCCUCUUUCUUCAAUCUUCUGCUGCUGUGAUUAUUAAAGCCUUGCCAAUAAUUACAGAUCAUAGCAUCCACGAGGAUGACGUUCAUUAAAUUUUUCUCUACAGUCAAUCUUUUUCCUUGACAAGCACAGGCAGGCAAUAUUAGUGGUAAAAUUUGGGAUGUUAAUUCCUUGACAAGCACAGGCAAUAUUGUUGAUUCAACUUUCCAAAAUGUAAUCUUUAGCCACCACAAAGCUUCACACACACACACACACACACACGAGUGUGAAAGUUUAUACACUUCAAAGUAAAGUUAAAGACAAGAGCAUAUAUAAUUGUUAAACCCCGUAUGAUUUGUUUCUGGCUUGUGCUUCUCUGGGAAUGAUUUGGUGGGCUAGUUUAUAGCUCUUUUGCACUAGGGUUUUUGUCCUUUCUACUAAUUUAUCUAAAUACAGGAUUUAUAAUCUUGAUGAAUGAAACUAGCAUUCUCGAUUUCUAGGUGGUAGAAAUAAUAGGACUAUUAUUAAAAUAAAAAUAAAUAAAUAAAUAAAUAAAUAUGCUCAGACUUUUACCAUGUACCAAUAGAGAAAACACCGCGUUUCUCUGUUUUUUUUUAAAAAAUUAUUUUUAUUUUAAAUUUUAUCAUAAUAGUUUAUUUCAAUAAGCUUAUUAUGCUUAUUAUGAAGCUAUUAAGAAAAAACAUUUCAAUGUAGAGUUGAAGCUCUCACAGACAAGUCAAGGCCCAGGAGUCGUGAAAUUCACUUUGAACCAGCCUGGACGCACUUAAAAUAGUAAUUUUUUUCUAUUUUUUUAAUUUGUCUCCGUGGAGACUCGAUACCCCAAAGUCGGGCUACAAUCACCACAAAAAUCUUUGUAUUUUUAACUGACAAAAAGUCACUGAAAAACUCGGAAAAAUAUGGAAAAUUAUUGGUUGAUAAUUUUUGGCAAAAAAAAAAAAAAAACUAUCAUCUUUGUGCUAAUGAAAAACUGGCGUGCAGAUUGGAAAGCAAAUCAUACUUUAUAGAUCGAGGGCUAAAAUAUACAUUUGUAGAAGGGAGUUGGGAAGAAAAUAAAUUUUCAUGGGUAUGGAAAAGUUCGAUGACGAGAUGUUUUGAAAGAGAGGGGUAUGACGUUCAUUGUACAUUGACUGAUGUAUCUUUUUAAAUUUUGUUUUUAGUAUUUUUAGAUUAUUUUAAUAUAAUAAUAUUAAAAAUAAAUUUUACAAAAUAAAAAAAUUACCAAACACACCUGCAAGCGAAUAUUGGUUGACUCAAAACCUUUAAUUUGUCUUUUAAUUUCUUUGUAUCCCAAUUAGUAAUUGCUACGUAAUUAGAUUUGGAGCCUCACUAUCAUUUGCACACUUAAUCUAGCCUUGUCAGAGCUGAUUUAUCUUUACAGUUGUUUUUUAAAAAUAAUUUUUUAAUAUUUUUAGAUUAUUUUGAUGUGUUGAUAAAAAAUAAAUUAUUUUAAAAAAUUAUUUUAAUAUAUUUUUAAAUAAAAAAUAUUUUUUAAAAAAAUUCACAGCAUGCAGAAAUAUGCUAUUCUUUUUAGAAAAUUUCAUGUGUUUACAUUUUCUUGGCAGCUUCUUCGAAACUUCAACAUUGGAGCGCGUCCACGCGUUAAUUAAUUAUUAUUGAGGCGACCUUACUAAUAAAUAAUAGUAUGUAAAUUCUCUUCCACAUCUCAUCCCACAAUAGAAUUCCCUAUUUUCCUUUCCCAUCUCAUGAUCAGUGCGAACUAGAUUUAUGUAUACUGCAAGUACUUUAUUAUUUUUCUAAGCCAUAUAUUCUUCUCUGAUCUGUGAUUUCUCUCUCUGUUUUUUUUUUGGCUGAAUACUGCUCAAGCGAACCAGCACUUGAAUCCAGGUAAAUGAUUUUGUCAAUUUGAGUUAAGCAGCCAUGAUUGUUUUUGUUCACCCGUCAAAAAAAUCAGCUCUUCUACCUUCCUUCCCCUGCUUUCUUCAACAGCUAUCCUCUUCUGCAUCUUUCUAUCUAUCAUUCUAGAGUUUUAGGAUAGAAUUUGAGUAUGAUAAUUUAGCUUUAAAUACAAAGGGUUAAAUCAUUAACAACAACAUUUAUAUUUCCUAUUUUUCAUCCGAAUUUCUUUAACAAACAAGAAAGUCAUAUAUAUGUUCUUUUCUGAUCUGUGCUUUCUGUUCUUUUUAAACCUCUGUACGUACUAAUCAUCUUCUACUUGUGGUCAGAUGGAAGGGUUCCUACCAUCUUCUAUGGAGGAUGAUGUCAACUUUACAUCGAAUCAGUUCGAUCUUCAAUCACUACUGUCGGAGCUUGAGCUUCUCUCGUACGUCAUUUUUAAGCAUAUUUUAUCAGAAGAUGAUUGCUUGCAAUUUAGUUAUUCUUCAGUUUAUCGUUUUAUUCCCAAAAAACAAUAUAAUGUCGUCACUGACUGUGGAAGCAGGCCGCCACCGGAGGUUCCAGUCAACCAAAGCUUCAUGUUAUGCAAUGAUCAUGUUGGACAGAACAUGGUGGUGGAUAACAAUGUGAUCAACGAUAGUAUUCAACAAACAACUGUGUUUCCACCUUCAUUUCCUCAAACCAUGGUGAGUGCUCAUGCCUACUCCAAUUUGCUACAAUGUCCAUUGAAUUGGCAAGUGUUUGUAUUAUACAAAAAGAUUUAUCUAAUUGUUUAUUGUUUAACAAACAGACAACAAUGGGAGGUUUGAAUGGAACAUCAUCAUCAUGGAUCAACCAAAAUGAACCAAAUUGGCCUCAAACUGAACCAAAUCAGCCGGGACAUGACUAUAUGACACCGAACGCAACCACUUCACAACAUGGUGGCUUCAUUCAACCUGAACCUUCUUUUCCUCCUCUCCGGUAUCCAAUUUUUCAUAUUUAGUAUUUUCUGUUAAAAAAAAAUUAGUUUUUCAAUUAGGAAAGCAACAUCAUAGCUUGGACAUGAACCCAGCAAGAUAAUCAUAAGUUUGUAAUGCUUCAUAUUGCUUGCGAAUGAUUUUGGAUUCAGGAGUCCAUUUCUUUCUAAUCAAGGACAAGACGAUCAAGCUGCUGUAAUUCCUAACAUAGACAAUAUGCAACAAGAGAACAUCGUGCCUCGGCACUUUGGCAACUCUACUAGGUACUGAUUGACCUCUAGCUGUUGUGUUUUAACACACUACGUAUUAAUACCCUUUUGAUAAUUAGAUACCACCAAUUAUCGAAAGGUUUUAUAAUAUGAUCACAUCAUUUAUAUAUAGGUCACAGAUGGAUAAUCUCCAAGUCCGAGGAUUGCAAAAUCAAACUGCUAGGCCAAAUGCCUCAAAUCCUGGCCUUGGCACUUCCCUGCAAAGUCAAAAUAGGGGUUUAAAUACUCAACAAGUAAGAAGUAUAACUGAAUUAUUGUCGUCUUUUUUUCCCCUUUGACUGUGCUAUAAACUAACUAUCAAUUUUAAUAGCAAAAUAAGGGUAACUUGAUCCGUUAAUUUUUAUUCCAUAUUUUGACCGAUUUUUAUUCUAUAUUUGACUUUUUUUUUUCUUUUUCUUCUAUAGGUCAAAAUGGUUGGAUCAAAUCUGUUAUUGUUUCAAUAUUUUUUUUUAAAAAAAUUAUUGUCUAGAAAUUUUUUUAAAAGCUAAGCCAUGUUUUACUAGUUUUCUAAGUUGUAUUUGGAUAUUGAUCGAUUUAAAUUGAGUUAAUUUCCAUAUAAUUUAAUUAAAAAUUUAAAUUAAAUAAAAAGUUAGGUUAGAAGAUUUUAAUAUUAACUCCCCUGACCAGGUUUAAUAAUAUUGCCAACAAACUUUCUUCACUCUUAACAUUUUAUUUUUAUAUUUUAAAAAAAUUAAUCCCCUAGAAAAACUAGGACAUAUUAUUGAGUGUAGGUUUUGUUUAUUAAAAGUAAGGAGUCUUUGACUGCAUGUAAUGGCAUCGACUGAAAACCUUUAAUCACAUGCUAUUAAUCACAUAUUUAAUCUGUUAUUGUUAGAGCACAUGCUUUUCAAAAACUUUGAAUUAUUUUCCAUUUAAAUUAUUAUUUUUUUAUUAAAAAUAAAUUUUAAAAAAUAAAAAAAUUAUUAUUUUAAUUAUUUUAAAUAAAAAAUAUUUUAAAAAGCAAAGUAUAUUAUUGUUUCUCAUAUUCAUGUAUUUACAUUUUCUAGGCAUCUUCUAAGCAUCAUAAUUGGGUAGGUAAAGUAGUGUUUUUAACUCCUUUUCUUUUCCAAUUAAUGGGACUGCCAUUCAUUAAUGGGACAUAUUUAAUCUUUCAUGUAUUUACCUCAGUAAUCCACUCAUAUAUAUAUAUAUAUAUAUAUAUAAUUUGCUAUGUGCUUUCUGUUCUUUUUUCACCUCAGUAUGUACUAAUCAUCUUGUACUUGUGGUUAGAUGGAAGGGUUCCCACCAUCUUCUAUGGAUGACUUGACAGAGUUCGAUCUUGAAUUACUAUUUCUCUCGUACGUCAUUCUUAAACAUAUUUUAUCAGAAGAUGAUUGCUUGCAAUUUAGUUACUUCAGUUUAUCCUAUUAUUGACAAAAACUAAUAAUGUCACUGUCCAUGGAAGCAGGCUGCCACCGGAGGUUCCAGACAUCCAAAGCUCCAUAUUAUGCAAUGAUCAAGAUGGACAGAACAAUGUGACCAUGGUGAGUACUAAUUCUUACUCCAAUUUGCUGCAAUGUCCAUUGAAUUAGCAAGUGUUUGUAUUAUACAAAAAGUUUUUAUGUUCUUAUCUCGAGCAUCUUCAAAUUGUUUAUUGUUAAACAAACAGACAACAAUGGGAGAUUUAGACAUUUUUUUAUGAUAUUUUUUUAUCAUUAAGUUUUAUAUAAAAUUGGCCUCAAACUCUAUCAAGGCAUCAUAAUUCCUUUAUUCAUCAACCUCAGACGGGACAUAUGACACAGAACGCACCCACAUCACAACAUGGUGAAUUCAAUCAACCUGGACCUUCUUUGCCCGCUCCCAGGUAUCCAAUUUUUCAUGUUUAGUAUUUUCUGGAAAAAAAAAUUUAGUUUUUCAAUCAUUAUGUAACUUCUUCUUCUUCUUCUUCCUCUUGUCGUUGUACUUAUCAGUGAAUUCAUUAUGUUUGAAUAUAGGUAUCAGCCUAAUCCUAAUUUAUUUGAUCCUCAAUGUGUCAAUCCCAUGCUGCCUGGACCAUCAAUGCCUUUGUGGUAAGCUAAAAUGAUAUCAAAUGCUUAGUGGAUUAAUAGCGAAGAAUUAUGCAUGUGUAUAAAGAAAUUACUAACAAAUGUUGCUAAUUUAGGGACCAACAAUUGACUAAUUAUCAGUUACCAAUGAGCAAUCGAGUGCCUACCUUAAACUUUUUUAAUCAAUGGUAUUAACCUCGAAUAUAUAUACACUUUUUUAUGUUUAGUAUUUUCUAUAAAAAAAAAAUUAGUUUUUCAAUCAGGAAAGAAACAUCAUAUCUUGAACAUGAACCCAACAAGCUAAACAUAUUGUUUGCAAAUGAUUUUGGAUUCAGGAGUCAAUAUUUUUCUAAUCAAGGACAAGUCGAUCAAGCUGCUGUAAUUCCUAACAUAGACAAUGUGCAACAAGAGAACUUCGUGCCUAGGUACUGAUUGACUUCUAGCUGUUGUGUUUUAACACCAUUAACUUUUACUGCUUAAGAGAGACUACCAAUUAUGGAAAGGUUUUAUAAUAUGAUCACUUCAUUUAUAUAUAGGUCACAGAUGGAUAACCUCCAAGUCCGAGGAUUGCAAAAUCAAACUGCUAGGCCAAAUGCCUCAAAUCCUGGCCUUGGCACUUCCCUGCAAAGUCAAAACUAGGGGUUUAAAUACUCAACAAGUAAGAAGUAUAACUGAAUUAUCGUCGUCUUUUUCCCUCCUAUGAUUGUGCAAUAAACUAACUAUCAAUUUUAAUAGCAAAAUAUGGGUAACAACACUGAAGUAGUAGUUUCUCAUCCAUCUGGAUAUGGUGUAACUUGCAUCAAUUUUUAUUCUUUAUUUUGACCUACCUUUUUUUUUAUAUAGGUCGAAAUGGUUAGAUCAAAGGAUCCAUUUUGGAAUUAUAUUGAAGAUAGGACUGAUGGUAGCAUGAAGUGUAAGUUUUGUCCACAUACAUUUGCCAAUAAAACCUCCAUUUCAAGGAUCAAAUGGCAUUUAUCAGGAGAGGAAGGGCAUAAUGUUGCCAUUUGUCAUGGGGUGCCUAAAGAAGUUCAAGAAGCAGCCUGGAAAGCUAUGUGUGGUGGCAACAAAAGACAUAAAAUCACAGCAGGUUCGAUCAAUGUUAAUGAUUGUGGAAUUUCAACAAUGGUAGGAGGAAUUGGAAGGGUACAAAGAGAAGUUCAGGUUGUAGAACCCGGAGUAGUGGAAGAGAGGAUUUCUUCACAUGCAAUAGCAGGAAACGACGUAGUAAGCAUGACCGGAAUGAGAGCACAAGAAGAUGGAGUUUCCGAAGGGGCACUCGAGAGCAGACUGAGGACAGAACCAGUGGAUCGAUCGUUGGAACAAAGCAAUGCAGUACUUGGCAAUAUGGCAGGGGGAGCUAGAAGGAUACAAGUGGGAGUUCAGGGCAUGGAACAAGAUCCAGGAGAAGAGAGAAUUCAGUCGCAUCUACAAGCGGAAAAUGGCAUGGAAAACACUGGUGAAGGAUCUUUUCAGCAUGAUGCAUUUGAGACUGUACCAAGAACAGAGAAAGUGCAGACUCUGGAGCCUCGAUGAGAUUCAUCCCAAUUUUGUCAUGGCAUUGGAAGAUGUUAUGAUCAACCUUGUGCUCCAUCAGGAAACAAUGAUGUAACUAGUCAUGAUGAGCAGCAUAUGGUUAGAGUGAGGACACAACCAGUGCAGAAAGAGGAGGAUGUGGAAAAUAGUGGAAGAUCAGUAGUGCAGGCUGGCGCAGGAGCUAGAUCUUCUGAAAGUCUGAAGUACAACAAGACUAGAGGAGUUCCAUUACCUACUAGCUCUACAAAGCCAGUGGGUCAAGCAUUUGAAGAGAAUACGAAGGUGAUAUGGUCUUUGUUAAUGGAUGAUGAAGUCUCAACCAUUGGUAUUUAUGGGAUGGGGGAGUUGGUAAAACAACAAUACUAAAACAUAUCCAUAAUGAGCUUCUACAAAGACUAGAUAUUUAUGAUCAUGUUUGGUGGGUGACUGUGUCUCAAGAUUUCAACAUUAAUAGAUUGCAGAAUCUUAUUGCUACACAACUUCAUCUAAACCUUUCGAGAGAAGAUGAUGAUCUGCAUAGAGCUGCCAAAUUGUUAGAAGAACUAAAGAAAAAACAAAAAUGGAUUUUUAUUUUAGAUGAUUUGUGGAACAAUUUUGAGCUUGAGGAAGUGGGAAUUCCUGAGAAGUUGAAAGGAUGCAAGUUGAUUAUGACAACUCGAUCAGAAAUGGUUUGUCAUCGGAUGGCUUGCCACCGCAAAAUCAAGGUGAAACCACUUUCUGAGGGAGAAGCUUGGACUUUGUUCAUGGAAAAACUUGGACGUGACAUAGCACUUUCACGAGAAGUGGAAGGAAUUGCGAAAGCUAUUGCAAGGGAAUGUGCUGGUUUGCCAUUGGGAAUUAUUACAGUGGCAAGAAGCUUGAGGGGAGUGGAUGACCUGCAUGAGUGGAGAAAUACAUUGAAGAAAUUGAGAGAAUCAGAAUUUAAGGACAAGGAAGUAUUCAAGUUAUUGAGGUUUAGUUAUGAUCGGUUAGGUGAUUUAGCACUACAACAAUGUCUCUUGUACUGUGCAUUAUUUCCCGAAGAUGAUAGGAUUAAGAGGGAGAGGUUGAUAGGUUAUUUGAUCGAUGAGGAGCAUGAAAGAUGCAUUUGACGAGGGCCACACGAUGCUUAAUAAACUUGAAAAUGUCUGCCUAUUGGAAAGUGCUCAAAUGAUGUCUACAGGUAGUAGAUAUGUCAAGAUGCAUGACUUGAUUAGAGACAUGGCCAUCCAUAUACUGGUAGAGAGCCCUCAAUACAUGGUUAAAGCAGGUGCACAAUUAAAAGAGUUGCCAGAUGCAGAGGAGUGGACGGAGAACCUGACGAUAGUUUCACUAAUGCAAAACAGAUUUGAAGGAAUUCCUUCCAGCCAUUCACCAAAAUGUCCAAAUCUGUCAACUGUAUUUCUAUGUGAUAAUGAAGGGUUGGGAUUUAUUGAGGAUUCAUUUUUCAAGCAAUUGCAUGGGCUCAAGGUCCUCGAUCUGUCCUGGACAGUUAUUAAAAAUUUGCCAGACUCUGUCUCUGAUUUGGUGAGUCUCACUGCGUUAUUGCUCAAUGAGUGUGACAAUUUAAAACAUGUUCCAUCAUUAAAGAAGCUCAGGGCACUGAAGAGGUUGGAUCUCUCUAGACUCUAGUACUGCACUUGAAAAUAUGCCGCAAGGAAUGGAAUGCCUAACCAACCUGAGGUAUCUUAGAAUGAAUGGAUGCGGUGAAAAGGAGUUUCCUAGCGGGAUAUUACCAAAACUCUCUCACCUGCAAGUCUUGGUACUAGAAGAGUUUCCUAGUGGGAUAACAGUUAAAGGAAAGGAAGUAGGAUCCUUGAGAAAUUUGGAAACUUUGGAGUGCCAUUUCGAAGGUUUAUCUGACUUUGUGGAGUAUCUCAGAUCUCGGGAUGGGAUUCAAUCAUUAAGCACAUAUAAAAUUUUAGUAGGAAUGGUGGAUUACUUGUAUUGGGAAAACAUUAAUGAUUUUCCAAGUAAAACAGUUGGGUUGUGUAAUUUGAGUAUCAACAGAGAUGGAGAUUUUCAGGUCAAGUUCUUAAAUGGUAUUCAAAGACUGAUUUGUGAACGCAUCGAUGCAAGAAGUUUAUGUGAUGUUUUGUCAUUAGAGAAUGCAACUGAACUGGAGGACAUCAACAUUCGGGAUUGCAAUAACAUGGAGAGCUUGGUUUCAUCUUCUUGGUUCUGCUAUGCUCCACCACCAUUGCCAUCAUAUAAUGGUAUGUUUUCUGGGCUUAAAGAGUUUUAUUGUGGUGGAUGUAAAAGUAUGAAGAAGCUGUUCCCACUUGUGCUGCUGCCAAACCUCGUAAACCUGGAAAGGAUUGAAGUGAGGUGCUGUGAGAAAAUGGAGGAGAUAAUAGGAACAACAGAUGAAGAAAGCCGCACCUCCAAUCCCAUCACGGAAUUCAUUCUCCCAAAGUUAAAAACUCUGAAAUUGUCUGUUUUACCAGAACUGAAAAGCAUUUGCAGUGCAAAACUGAUUUGCAAUUCUCUUAAAAAAAUUAGGGUAAGUUUUUGUAAGAAGCUGAAGAGGAUGCCAAUUUGUCUUCCGUUGCUUGAAAAUGGCCAGCCAUCUCCUCCCCCUUCUCUUAAAAAAAUCGAAGCAAGUCCAAAAGAAUGGUGGGAGACAGUAGUGGAGUGGGAGCAUCCUAAUGCAAAGGAUGUCCUUCGUCCCUUUGUAAAGUUUGGGUACUGGUAAUCCUUCCGUUGUAAGAAUACUAAUCGAUUGUAACCUUAAAUUUGCUCAUAUUCAAUAACAUUCAAUUCUUUCAAUCAUUUUUGUUAAAAAUCACGUGCAAAACAUAAUAUAUGUUUUUUCGAUAUGAAUGAUGAAAAUAGUCCUUUAAAACAACAAGGAUAUUCUUAUUAAUUAUAAUUUGAAGUUUGAUUAAUAUUAUAUUUUCAUCCUAUUGAGGUUCUCCAAGAUGAAAAUCCAAAAAAUAAAAAAAUACUAAAUUGAUUUAUCAUUAAAGUAACCUAAUAAAAUAAUAGAUGUUUUGAAAGAAAGGGGUAUGGCGUUCAUUGUACUCUAAACUCAUUGACUGAUGUACCUCUUAAAAAUUGUAUAUGUUACCAGAACUGAAAAGCAUUUGCAGUGUAAAACUGAUUUGCAAUUCUCUUGAAUAUAUUUGUGUAAUCGAUUGUGAUGAGCUGAAGAGGAUGCCAAUUUGUCUGCCGUUGAAUGAAAAUGGCCAGCCAUCUCCUUCCCCUUCUCUUAAAAAUAUCUAUUCAAGUCCAAAAGAAUGGUGGGAGUCAGUAGUGGAGUGGGAGCAUCCUAAUGCAAAGAAUGUCCUUCGUUCUUUUGUAAAGUAAUAUAAUACAGUGUGCUUACAAUUACAUAAAUAACAUUUUUCAUUUUUUUUUAUUUCAUUAAAGACUACUGAAUUGUCAUAUAUAUAUUUUAACUCGAUAGAUAAAUAAUUAUAAUUUGAAGUUUGAUUAAUAUUAUAUUUUCAUCCUAUUGAGUUUCUCCAAGAUGAAAAUCCAAAAAACAAUAAUAAAAAAAAUACUAUAUUGAUUUAUCAUUAAAGUAACCUAAUAAAAUAAUAAAUCUACACACAUUUUUAAAAUGUCUAAGAGAGAGUAUGAAUAUGGCAGUUUUGGUUUCUCAACCUGUAACUGCCAUAUUCAUAAACACAUUUUUUAAAUAACUGAAAUUCUAAGACCAAAUUUCGUACUAAAACUAGAAAGUAGCAUAGGUUAAUAAUUAUUAUCUUUUUUAUUUUUAAUUAUAAUCUAAAAUUUGUAGUGUGUGGUCCCGCACCAUGUGAUGGGGGGACCACCACAUUAAUCAAGAAGAGAGGCAGUUGGCUGCCUCUUUAAUUUAAAUGUGUCUGCCACUGUAGAAGGUAGACGAGAGAGAGAGGGAGAACAAAAUUAAAAGAGAGCAAAAACAGAAGAGAAAAACGUGAGAAAGAAAGAAGAGGAGGCAGCAGAGCAGUCUGUCUUCUUUCUUCGAUUUCCAGUUCGUUCACCGUUGGAUCGAGCUGAGAUUUGGACAGAAUCUUCUAGACAUGUUACUCUUCAUUUUGAACGGUUGGAUUGAAGAUUGGUGGUGUGGAAGCUGGUUGUUUUGACAGAAAACGGGGCUGUCAGUGUUGUGAGCUUUUCUCUAACAUUGCUCUCUUUAAUCUUGUUGUAAUCCCAGAAUAUGUUGUUCUUGAUGAUAUAUAUGUUGUAGCCCUUAGUUAAUCUGAGGAAGAACUAUUGUGAACCCAUUAUUUGUGAUAGUGGAAGUUUUUAGGUGGACUCCGAUCCCGUGGUUUUUCCCGCAUCGGGUUUUCCACGUAAAAAUCUUGGUGUUGAUGUGUGUGAUUGUUGCAUUAUAUUUGUUCAUUGUUUGAUUCUGUUUUUUACUGCACAAAGAGGGAAAAAGGAUUGGGACUUGUUAAUUGUGAAUUGUAUUCCGCUGAAUUGAUCCGGUUAUUUGUCCCUAGUUUUCCCAACAGAGUGGUAUCAGAGCAUUUGGUUGUGUAGAUUGAAUUCUUAUGCAGUUAAAAUGGAAAAGGAAGAUUCGGGUAUGAAAAAGCUCACUUCCUCAAAUUAUUUUCUAUGGAAAACAAUGAUGGAGGAUCACUUAUAUUGCAAUGAUUUGGCUUUGCCAAUUGAAUGUAAAGGAAUAAAGCCUGAUGAUAUGGAUGAUGCAAAAUGGAAUGGACUUAAUAGAAAGGCUACCGCUAAUGUUAGAAAAUUGGUAUCUUCUAAGUCCAUUAAUCAUAUUUCUCAAGAACAUGACUGCUAUACAGUGUGGAAGAUGUUGGAAGAAACAUUUGCCAAGGAGAGUGCACAAAACAAGGUUUUUGUAAUUAAAGACCUUGUGAAUUUGAAGUAUAGAGAUAGUGAAGAUGCUUCAGUGCAUAUAAAUGUAUUCCAAGGGUUCUUGAAUCAGCUGUCAUUGAUGAACCUUGAGUUAGCCGAUGAAAUGCAAGCAUUAAUCCUAUUGAGUUCAUUGCCGGAUAGUUGGGAGACUUUGGUAGUGUCACUUAGCAAUUCUACUCCGAAUGGAAAGCUCACUUUGAAAACAGUGAAGGAUUGUAUCCUCAAUGAAGAGAAGAGGAGGAAAGGGACAAGCACUUCCGAGUCUCAUGCACUUGUUACAGAAAGUCGAGGGAGAAGUCAAAGCAGGUUCUCUCACGGCAAGCAAGAUGGAGAAUCUAGCAAUAGAAAAGGCAAAUGAAAGCCAAGAGGAAGAUCUCAGUCAAGGAAGGGUUUUAAGUGUUAUUAUUAUGACAAGCCUGGGCAUGUGCAAAAGGAUUGCAGAAAGUAUAAAAGAGAUAAAAAGGGUAGAGAUGAAGACAAGAAUGAAGAGAAUGGUACAGCUGCAGUUGUAUCUGAUGGUGAUGUUGCCAUUGUGUGUGAUGAUGGUUGUGUUAAUCUUGCAUGUCAAGAUACCACCUGGGUUGCAGAUUCAGCAGCUUCUUACCAUAUUACACCCCGACAUGAUUUUUACACAUCCUACACUGCUGGUGACUUUGGUCAAGUUAGGAUGGGAAAUCAAGGGAUGGCUAGUGUUGUGGGCAUUGGAGAUAUUUGGUUGGAAACCAAUACUGGGUGCAAGUUGCUACUCAAAGAUGUUAGGCAUGUGCCUGAUAUGCGCCUACAUUUGAUCUCUACUGGUACUCUUGAUGAAGAAGGCUAUCAUAGUUACUUUGGAGAUGGUAAAUGGAAGCUCUCCAGAAAUUCCCUAAUUGUUGCUAAAGGGAAGAAGAUGGGUCUUUACAUGUCACAAGCCAAGGUGAUCAAAGGGGAGGUGAAUGCAAUUGAAGAUUGCUCUACUGAUCUAUGACAUAAGCGAUUUGGACAUUUGAGUGAGAAAGGUCUUGGCAUCCUUGCCAGGAAGAACUACCUUCCUUUAAAAGGUAUGAACCUGAACACAUGUACUCAUUGUUUAGUUGGUAAACAACAUAGAGUUGCAUUUCAAAGAUCACCUUCACAUAGAAGGUCACAUGUUCUUGAUUUAGUUCAUACUGAUGUUUGCUCUAUGAUUGAUAAGUCUCUUAGAGGUGCAUUGUACUUUGUUAAUUUUAUUGAUGAUCACUCCAGGAAGAUUUGGGCCAUUUAUUUGAAAUCCAAAGAUCAAGUGCUUGAUGUCUUUAAGGAUUUCCAUGCCAGAGUUGAAAGAGAAACUGGUAGAAAGCUGAAAUGUGUUCGAGCAGACAAUGGUGGUGAAUACAGGGGUCCUUUUGAAAAGUACUGCAGGGAACAUGGUAUCAAGUUGGAGAAGACAGUUCCUAAGACUCCACGGCAGAAUGGAGUUGGUGAGAGAAUGAACAGAACCAUUGUUGAAAGAAUUAGAUGUAUGCUCUCUCAUGCAAAGUUGCCUAAGUCCUUUUAGGGUGAGGCAAUGAAGACUGCAGUUGCCAUGAUCAAUCUUUCUCCAUCAGUUCCUCUUGAGUUUGAUGUUCCAGAUAGAGUGUGGAAAGGAAAGGAUGUUUCCUAUGCACACUUGAGAGUGUUUGGAUGCAGAGCAUUUGUACAUGUUCCAAGGGAUGAAAGGUCCAAGCUUGACAGCAAGACAAAGCAGUGUAUUUUCUUGGGAUCUGAAGAUGAUGAGUUUGGCUAUAGGUUGUGGGAUCCAAAGGAGAAGAAAAUUGUGAGAAGCAGAGAUGUUAUCUUCUUUGAAGAUCAAACCAUUGAAGACUUUGAACUGAAGGAGAAAACAGAGUCUACAACUUUUAUUCCAUCUAAUUCAAAUCCAAGAUCUACUCCACAGUUACCUUUGAUGCCUGCUAAUCAUGGGGGAGAUUUGCAAAAUGAUGAUAAUGGUGGUUUUCUUAUUGAGCCAUUAGUUGGUGAUCAUGAAUCAACUAAUGAUGAUAUUGAUGUUAUUCCUGAACAGGUUAUGCAGGAAGCUCUAGAUGAGCCACAAUUGAGGAGGUCAACCAGACCUCGCCAACCUUCCACCAAAUAUUCUCCUCAUGAGUAUGUGCUAGUUACUGAUGGGGGAGAGCCAGAAUGCUUUGAUGAAGCCAUGUCACAUGAGAAGAAAAGUGAGUGGUUGCAAGCAAUGCAAGAAGAGAUGAAAUCCUUGCAUGAAAACCAUACCUUUGAGUUAGUGAAGCUUCCUAAAGGUAAGAGAGCACUCAAGAACAAAUGGGUGUUCAGGUUGAAAAUUGAUGAACAUUGCUCACAACCAAGUACAAGGCAAGAUUGGUUGUGAAAGGUUUCGGUCAGAAGAAGGGUAUUGAUUUUGAAAAAAUCUUUUCACCAGUGGUCAAGAUGUCUUCAAUCCGAGUUGUGUUUGGCUUAGCUGCUAGUUUGAAUCUUGAAGUUGAGCAACUUGAUUGAAAACUGCCUUUCUCCAUGGUGAUUUAGAUGAGGAAAUCUACAUGGAGCAACCUGAAGGGUUUGAAGCAAAAGGUAAAGAGCAGUUAGUUUGCAAGUUGAAAAAGAGCCUAUAUGGGUUAAAGCAAGCUCCAAGACAAUGGUAUAAGAAGUUUGAUUCUUUCAUGGUGGAUCAUGGUUAUGACAGGACUACUUCUGAUCAUUGUGUAUUUAUGAAAAGGUUUCCAGAUGGAAACUUUAUUAUUCUCCUAUUGUAUGUGGAUGAUAUGUUGAUUGUUGGCCAUAAUGCUAAGAAGAUUCAGAUGUUGAAGGAAGAGUUAAGCAAGUCUUUUGCAAUGAAAGACUUAGGACCGGCAAAACAGAUUCUUGGCAUGAAGAUCACACGUGACAGGAAGAAGGAGAAACUUUGGCUAUCUCAGGAGAGAUAUGUCCAAAAGGUACUUGAGAGAUUCAACAUGAGCAACUCCAAACCGGUUUGUUCUCCAUUUGCAAGCCACUUUAAACUAAGUUCUAAGCAGUGUCCUUCAAGUGAUGAAGAAAGAGAUGAGAUGAAAAAGGUUCCUUAUGCAUCCGCAGUUGGUAGCUUGAUGUAUGCUAUGGUUUGCACAAGGCCGAAUAUAGCUCAUGCAGUUGGUGUGGUUAGUCGGUUCCUCUCCAAUCCUGGUAAAGAACACUGGUCAGCAGUGAAAUGGAUACUCAGGUAUCUCAAAGGUACUUCUAGUUUCAGCUUAUGUUUUGGUAAUGAUAAACCUGUGUUGGAUGGAUACACAGAUGCAGAUAUGGUUGGUGAUGUUGAUUCUAGAAAGUCCACAUCAGGAUACUUGAUGAAGUUUGCAGGGGGAGCUGUCUCAUGGCAAUCAAGGUUGCAAAAAUGUGUUGCAUUAUCCACUACAGAGGCUGAAUAUAUUGCUCUUACUGAAGGGGGCAAAGAGUUGUUAUGGAUGAAGAAGUUCCUACAUGAACUUGGCCUAGUUCAAGAGAACUUUGUGUUGCACUGUGAUAGUCAAAGUGCAAUCCAUCUCAGUAAGCAUCCUACUUUUCACUCUCGAUCAAAGCACAUAGAGGUUAGAUAUCAAUGGAUUCGUGAUGCUAUGGAGAUGAAGUCAUUUGUUGUUGAGAAGAUCCAUACCGAUAACAACGUGUCAGAUAUGAUGACCAAACCUCUACCAAGAGAGAAGUUUGAGUUUUGCAGAAGGGAGGCAGGCUUGUCAGAGCCUCCUAAAUUGAAGCUUACAUGUUGAUCGCCAGUAUGGCGAAUUCCUCACAUGGUGCGUGAGGGGGAGAUUUGUUGUGUGUGGUCCCGCACCAUGUGAUGGGGGGACCACCACAUUAAUCAAGAAGAGAGGCAGCUGGCUGCCUCUUUAAUUUAAAUGUGUCUGCCACUGUAGAAGGUAGACGAGAGAGAGAGGGAGAACAGAAUUAAAAGAGAGCAAAAACAGAAGAGAAAAACGUGAGAAAGAAAGAAGAGGAGGCAGCAGAGCAGUCUGUCUUCUUUCUUCGAUUUCCAGUUCGUUCACCGUUGGAUCGGGCUAAGAUUUGGACAGAAGCUUCUAGACACGUUAAUCUUCAUUUUGAACGGUUGGAUUGAAGAUUGGUGGUGUGGAAGCUGGUCGUUUUGACAGAAAACGGGGCUGUCAGUGUUGUGAGCUUUUCUCUAACAUUACUCUCUUUAAUCUUGUUGUAAUCCGAGAAUAAGUUGUUCUUGAUGAUAUAUAUGUUGUAGCCCUUAGUUGAAUAUGAGGAAUAACUAUUGCGAACCCAUUAUUUGUGAUAGUGGAAGUUUUUAGGUGGACUCCGGUCCCGUGGUUUUUCCCGCAUCGGGUUUUCCACGUAAAAAUCUUGGUGUUGAUGUGUGUGAUUGUUGCAUUAUAUUUGUUCAUUGUUUGAUUCUGUUUUUUACUGCACAAAGAGGGAAAAAUGAUUGGGACUUGUGAAUUGUGAAUUGUAUUUCGCUGAAUUGAUCCGGUUAUUUGUCCCUAGUUUUCCCAACAAAAUUUUAUUAUGUUUACCUUUUGGUCACGAGUUUAAGAUGAAAGCACACAAAAAAGGAACUGCUAAAGCCUAAAUUUUAGGCAAUUUGUUUUUGACACAACAGGGAUCAUGGAGACGUGAUGAAAUAUAAUUUUAAAAUUUAAAAUAUUUUUAAUUAGUUAAGAUUAAAUAAGUUUUUAAAUUAAAACAAUUUAAUUUCAAUAAAAUAUCAAAAUAUUAUGAAAUUAAAAUGUUUUAACACUAAUAUUUUAAAUAUAAAGUUAGGUCAAUGUUAUCAAGGCUAAUGAGAUCUAAAAUAUUCAUUUUUUUUGCUUAAAUUCCUACAAAGUAUAAACUUGAAAAAAACAACAUGAAUAUAAACCAUAUAUAUUAGUGAUAAAUCUAAUUUUAAAAAAUUAAUAUCAUAGUUAAUGAAAAUAGUAAUGAAAAAGAGCUUUUUAUACUUUGAUGUUUUAAUUAUUAAUUGAACCAGGUUCAAUUUGAUUUAAUGGCUUUUUAAGACCAGAACAGAACAUGUGGAAUGAAACCGGAACAUUCCAAACGGAAUUUAGCCAAAAAAUCCGGAAAGGACCGAAAUUUGAAAUGAGAUGAAAAUUAUUUCGUUUUAUUCUAUUUUUUGAAUUAGUAUAAAAUCAUUACAAAUAAAACGAAACGAAAUUAACAACUUUUAUUUUAAUAUAUUUAUAAAUCCCCUAAAAAACUUUCUUCACUCUUGACAUUUUAUUUUUAUAUUUUAAAAAAAUUAAUCCCCUAAAAAAACUAGGACAUAUUAUUGAGUGAGGUUUUGUUUAUUAAAAGCAAGGAUGGAGUCUUUGACUGCAUGUAACGGCAUCGGCUGAAAACCUUUAAUUUGUCUUCUAAUUUUUUCUCUAUUGUUACAUAAUCAGAUUCGCUUCAUCUUAAAUAAUUAUUUUUUUAAUUUUAGAUUAAAUUUAAAAUUGUGAUAUAUAAUAUUUUUUAAAAAAGUAUUUUUUAUUUAAAAAUAUAUUAAAAUAAUAUUUUUUAAGAUUUUUUUUAUUUUUAAUAUCAACACAUCAAAAUCAUAGAAAAAUAAAAAAAAAUUCAUUUAUCUUUUUUAAAAAACAACUAAAAACAAAAACAAUCACAUGCUAUUAAUCACAUAUUUAAUCUGUUGUUGUUAGAGCACAUGCUUUUCAAAAACUUUGAAUUAUUUUCCUUUUAAAUUAUUAUUAUUUUUAUUAAAAAUAAAUUUUAAAAAAUAAAAAAAUUAUUAUUUUAAUUAUUUUAAAUAAAAAAUAUUUUAAAAAGCAAGUAUAUUAUUGUUUCUCGUAUUCAUGUGUUUACAUUUUCUAGGCAUCUUCACGCGUUAACUUCCUAUAUCUUAUAAUAUAAUAUUUGGCAGGUUAAGUAGUGGGUUGCUUGCUAGCAACUUCCUUCCUAUCAAACAAAACAAUAAUUUGUUUAUACUGCUACUUUAUUAUUUUUCUAAAUCAUAUAAUCUUCUCUGAUCUGUGAUUUCUCUUCUCUUUAAAUCCUCAGGACGUACUCAUCAUCUUCUACCUCUUUUCCUUUCCACAUCUAACCAGUGCGAACUAGAUUAUAUUUAUGUGAUUUCUCUUCUGUUUUUUUUUUUUUGGCUGAAUACUGCUCAAUCAAACCAGCGCUCGAAGAACAUCUUGAAUCCAGGUUAAUUAUUUGUACUUCAUCUUCUUCAUCUUGUUGGUGUUUUUGUUUGUAUAUAUGUAACUAUGGUUUGAAUCUUUAAAGGAAUCCAUGAUAAAUAAAUUGAUCUUUUUCUCGGAUUUUAUAAUCCAUGCCUAGUGGAGAGUUCAUACUAAAUUAAUACUGAAUUCAUUGUUUUCGUCUUUUCAAAAUUCUUAGCCGUUUUUAACUCCUUAUUUUAGAUUCACCCUUUUCUUUUCCAAUUAAUGGGACUGCCAUUCAUCAAUAUUUUUCAACUUUCUAUUUUCUUACAAUGAUUCAAUGAAUUAACUUGAUCAAUAAUUACCUGAAUCUUUUUGAACAAAACAAUAUCCUAUUAUUAUUUUUGUGUGUGUUUUAUGAUGCGUAACUAAGGGUUAAAAUAAUCUUGCAAUAUAAAUAGGAGUUGAAAGAGGUUUGUUCACCCCGUCAAAACAAUCAGCUCUUCUACCUUCAACAGUUAUCCUGCAUCUUUCUAUCUAUCAUAAAAAGAAUUUGAUUAUGAUAAUUUAUCUUAAAAGACAAAGGAUUAAAUCAUUAACAACAACAUUUAUAUUUCAUAUUUUUCAUCCGAAUUUCUUUAACAAACAAGAAAGUCAUUCAUAUAUAUAUAUAUAUAUAUAUAUAUAUAUAGAUAGAUAGAUAGAUAGAUAGAUAUUCUUUUCUGAUCUGUGCUUUAUGUUCUUUUUAGACCUCAGUUUUUUAUGUCUUUUCUGAUCUUUUCUGGUCAGAUGGAAGGGUUCCAACCAUCUUUUAUGGAGGAGGUUGACAACAUGACAUGGGAUCAGCUGGGUUUUCAAUCAGAAGAAGAUACAUUCAAUAUGUCUGAGCUUCUCUCGUACGUCAUUCUUGAGCAUAUUUUAUCAGAAGAUGAUUGCUUGCAAUUUAGUUAUUCUUCAGUUUAUCCUAUCAUUCCCAAAAAAACAAUAUAAUGUCGUCACUGUCCAUGGAAGCAGGCUGCCACCGGAGGUUCCAGUCAACCAAAGCUCCAUAUCAUGCAAUGAUCAAGGUGGACAGAAGAAUGUGAUCAACGAUAGUAUUCAACAAACAACUCCGUUUCCAACUUCAUUUCCUGAAACAGUGGUGAGUACUCCAAUUUGCUACAAUGCCCAUUGAAUUAGCAAGUGUUUGUAUUAUACAAAAAGUGUUUGCAUUUUUGUUUUUAAUUUCAUUUGAUAAUUUAUUUCAAUAAACUUGUUAUGGAGCUCUUGUGGUCUAAGAAGAAGAAACAAUUCAAUGUAGAGUUGAUGUUUGACUUAACAAGAUUUUGUUCAAUUUAAUUGAUUAAAAAUAAGUGAAAUUUUGACCGUCAAAUUUGAUAUUAAAAUUUUGAAGAUAAAUAUUGAAGACUGAAUUUGAUAUUAAAACUAAAAAUAAGUAGAAAGUUUUUACAAAGGUAAAUGUUAUGAAAAGAUCGAAAUUGCUAUCCAACUGGUGUGCAGAUUGGAUAGCAAAUCAAGCUAUGUUGAAGUUUUCUACUGCAGUGAAGCUCCCUCUGGUUGCUUGAAGCUAAUGCCUGAUUGUUGCGUUCCUGGGAUUUUGAUAAGUGUAUGAAAGUCUAUUUUAUCAUUAAUUUGUUUUUAUGUUUUAAAAAUAUUUUAAAAAAAUUAAUUUUUUAUUUUAAAUUUAUUCUAACUCUUUUGUUUUAUCAUUCUCAAAGUCCAAACAACAACGGUACUGUCAAGAUUGUUAUGUUUAUGCCCGCAAUCGAAACAUAAUUUGUUUUUGUACUCAGAGUUAUGCUUAUUAAAAAAUCUGGUUAUUUUAAAAAAUAUAUUAAAUUAAUAUUUUUUAAUAUAUUAAUAUUAAAAAUAAAAGAAAAAUAUUUUGAUUACUCAGAAUAAAUAGGAAGCUUUAUAAUAGUUAAGAAACGUAUUCCAAAGUUUAGUUUACUGGUUGACUCACAUAUUAACUGAAUAACCUGAGUAAAAAAGAAAACCACAUCAUAUUAUGAUGGUGUUUAUUAAAAAAAACUAAAAUAACAAUUUUUUUUUAAUAUUAUCUUCUUAAAUAUUUUUAUUUUAAAAAUUUUUCACAUAGUUGUAGAUAAAAAAAAAAUGUUUUAAUUUAGCAACGAUAGAGCAUCCACAAGAAAGAUAUUAUACGGUUAUUAAUUUUCAUUAAAAGAAAAGCUAAGAGACCUGGGAGAACUACUAUAUAUCCACACCUAUUUCAUAAAUUACAAUAGUACGUAAUUCAAGGUGUUUUGCCUUUUUUGUUUUGUUUUUUAAAAUUUGUUUUUGUUUAUUUUAUAAUAGGCUGGUUAUAAUUCAGCUUUAAUUUAUUAAUUUUUAUUCUAUUUUUUUUAUAAGAUUAACGUAAUUUAUAGAUUUGUUAAAAUAACUCAAAUUAUACUAGUUUUCAGAUUUGAUGGGAUAUUUUUUUGUUUAUUAAUUAAAAGAAAAACUAAAAGGUGUAAGAGAAUCACUAUUUACCCACACUCAUUUCAUUAUGGAUUACAAUAGUAAUCUAUAGUGUUUUGUCUUUUCUGUUUUUUUCCUUUUCUUUCCUUUUUUUUUAUCAUUUUUAAAAAUAAUUCUUUUGUCUAUUUCAUAUUUGGGCCGAAUUAGCAUAUAUAUAUAUAUAUAUAUAUAUAUUGGAUUGGUGUUUAAUUUUACAAGUAUAAGUAUCUAUUUUUGUUAUCAUAUUAUUAAAUAAAAAUAAUUUUUUAAAAAAGUAUAAUCCUAGUUAAGUCCAUAACCUUGUUCAUGAGUUUGAUGUGCUAGCCCAAGUUACCUGAUUCACGAGUUUGACAGGUUUAUCAAUUGAUCGAAUAUGGUUUUUUUUUGUUUCUGGUCUUUUAAUUUUUUUAAUUGAUUUUUUUUCAAUUUUGUCCUUCAAUAUUAGAUUGGUUUGGAAAUAGACUAAAUGAUUUAUUUUUGUUUGCUUUCUAUAGGGUUAUCAAAAUCUUAAAUAAAUAUUUAUUUUAGGGAUGAAACUCAAUUUUAUGAGUAUUUAUUUUUAUCAUAUAAUUAAAUUAAAAAAAAGUUUAAAAAAAUUAUUAAACCCAAUAGAAUCGAUGAUCCAGGUCGCGAGGGACCGGGAUCGAUCAAAUUUGUCAUUGUUUCAAUAUUUUUUUUUAAAAAAAAAUUGUUGUCUAGAAGUUUUUUGUCAUAGAAUCGAUGACCGAGAGCAAAAAUUGUUUUCGUUUUGCUCUUCCCCUGCUUUCUUCAACAGUUAUCCUGCGUCUUUCUAUCUAUCAUUCUAGAGUUUUAGGAUCUCGUGUCAUAUAAAGAAUUUGAGUAUGAUAAUUUAGCUACAAAGACAAAGGAUUAAAUCAUUAACAACAACAUUUAUAUUUCAUAUUUUUCAUCCGAAUUUCUUUAACAAACAAGAAAGUCAUUCAUAUAUAUAUAUAUAUAUAGAUAGAUAGAUAGAUAGAUAGAUAUUCUUUUCUGAUCUGUGCUUUAUGUUCUUUUUAGACCUCAGUUUUUUUAUGUCUUUUCUGAUCUUUUCUGGUCAGAUGGAAGGGUUCCAACCAUCUUUUAUGGAGGAGGUUGACAACAUGACAUGGGAUCAGCUGGGUUUUCAAUCAGAAGAAGAUACAUUCAAUAUGUCUGAGCUUCUCUUGUACGUCAUUCUUAAGCAUAUUUUAUCAGAAGAUGAUUGCUUGCAAUUUAGUUAUUCUUCAGUUUAUCCUAUUAUUCCCAAAAAACAAUAUAAUGUCGUCACUGUCCAUGGAAGCAGGCCGCCACCGGAGGUUCCAGUCAACCCAAGCUCCAUAUCAUGCAAUGAUCAAGGUGGACAGAACAAUGUGAUCAACGAUAGUAUUCAACAAACAACUCCGUUUCCAACUUCAUUUCCUGAAACCAUGGUGAGUACUCCAAUUUGCUACAAUGUCCAUUGAAUUAGCAAGUGUUUGUAUUAUACAAAAAGUUUUAUGUUUAGUGGAUCGAUCUCGAGCAUCUUCAAAUUGUUUACUGUUAAACAAACAGACAACAAUAGGGAGAUUUAAACAUUUUUUAUGAUAUUUUUUUAUCAUUAAGUUUUAUAUAAAAUUGGCCUCAAACUCCAUCAAGGCAUCAUAAUUCCUUUAUUCAUCAACCUCAGCCGGGACAUGGCUAUAUGACACCGAACGCAACCACAUCACAACAUGGUGGCUUCAAUCAACCUGGACCUUCUUUUCCUCCUCCCUGGUAUCCAAUUUUUCAUCUUUAGUAUUUUCUGUAAAAAAAAAAAUUAGUUUUUCAAUCAUUAUUUAACUUCUUCUUCCUCUAGUUGUUGUACUUAUCAGUGAAUUCAUUAACAAAUGUUGCUAAUUUAGGGACCAACAAUGGACUGAUUAUCAGUCACCAAUGAGCAAUCAAGUGCCUGCGAUGCUACCUGGACCUCAACCUCCAAUGAGUCAAUGGUAUUAACCUCGAAUUUACACUUUUUUAAUCAUGAAAACAAUAAACUUUACCAAAAUUGACGAGGAUCUUUCAAGUCUUUUUGAGCUCUCUAUCUCUCUUUUUUUUUUUAUGCACAUAAUGGAACUAGAAAAUCAACCAAGUGAGCAUAACAGUUCUAAGUUUAACUAUUUGAAUAUUCUUCAGGCAUCAGAACUCCUUUAUUCAUCAACCUCAGCCGGGACAUGGCUAUAUGACACCGAACGCAACCACUUCACAGCAUGGUGGCUUCAAUCAAUCUGGACCUUCUUCUCCUGCUCCCCGGUAUCCAAUUUUUCAUUUUUAGUAUUUUCUGUAAUAAAAACAAUUAGUUUUUCUAGCAAGAUAAUCAUAAGUUUUUUUACGAAUGAUUUUGGAUUUAGGAUUCAAACUUUUUCUAAUGAAGGACAAAUAGAUCAAGCUGCUGUAAUUCCUAACAUAGACAAUAUGCAACAAGAGAACUUCGUGCGUAGGUACUGAUUGACUUCUAGCUGUUGUGUUUUAACACCGUAUUAAUACCUUUUUUUUAUAAUUAGAUACACCAUUGAUUUUUAUUGCUUAAGAGAGACUACCAAUUAUCGAAUGGUUUUAUAAUAUGAUCACUUCAUUUUUAUAUAGGUCACAGAUGGAUAACCUCCAAGUCCGAGGAUUGCAAAAUCAAAUUGCUAGGCCAAAUGCCUCAAAUCCUGGCCCUGACACCUCCUUUCAAAGUCAAAUUAGGGGCUUAAAUACUCAACAAGUAAGAAGUCUAACUGAAUUAUCGUCGUCUUUUCCCCCUAUGAUUGUGCAAUAAACAAACUAUCAAUUUUAAUAGCAAAAUAAGGGUAACUUCCAUCAAUUUUUAUUCUUUAUUUUGACCCCGUUUUUUUUUUCUAUAGGUCGAAACGGUUGGAUCAAAGUAUCCAUUUCGGAUUCAUGUUGAAUAUAGGGCUGAUGGUAGCAUGAAGUGUAAGUUUUGUCACCAUACAUGGGCCAAUAAAACUUCCAUUUCAAGGUUCAAAUGGCAUUUAUCAGGAGAGGAAGGGCAUGGUGUUGCCAUUUGUCGUGGGGUGACUAAAGAAGUUCAAGAAGCAGCCAUUCUAGCUAUGUGUGGUGGCCACAAAAGACAAAAAAUCACAGCAAGUGCAGUCAAUGUUAAUGACUGUGGAAUUUCAACUUGUCUACAAGAACAAAACAUUGAGAAUGAAAAUACGGGAGGCGGUAUUGGAAGGGUACAAAGAGAAGUUCAGGUUGUAGAACCCGGAGUAGUGGAAGAGAGGAUUUCUUCACAUGCAAUAGCAGGAAACGACGUAGUAAGCAUGACCGGAAUGGGAGCACAAGAAGAUAGAGUUUCCGAAGGGGCAGUCGAGAGCAGACUGAGGACAGAACCAGUGGAUCGAGCGUUGGAACAAAGCAAUGCAGUACUUGGCAAUAUGGCAGGGGGUGCUGGAAGGAUACAUGUGGGAGUUCAGGGCAUGGAACAAGGUCCAGGAGAAAAUAGAAUUCAGUUGCAUCUACAAGCGGAAAAUGGCAUGGAAAACACUGGUGAAGGAUCUUUUCAGCAUGAUGCAUUUGAGAAUGUACUUAGAACAGAGCAAGUGCAGCUUCUGGAGCCUCAAGGAGAUUCAUCCCAAUUUUGUCUUGACAUUGGAAGAUGUGAUGAUCAACCUUGUGCUCCAUCAGUAAACGAUGAUGUAAAUAGGCAUGAUGCACUGGACAUGGUUAGAGUGAGGACAGAACCAGUGGAGGAUGAUGAUGUGGAGAAUAGUGGAAGAUCAGGAGUGCAGGCUGGCGCAGGAGCUAGAUCUUCUGAAAGUCUGAAAUACAACAAGACUAGAGGAGUUCCAUUACAUACUAGCUCUACAAAGCCAGUGGGUCAAGCAUUUGAAGAGAAUAAGGAGGUGAUAUGGUCUUUGUUAAUGGAUGGUAAAGUCCCAAUCAUUGGCAUUUAUGGGAUGGGGGGAGUUGGUAAAACAACAAUAAUACUACAUAUCUAUAAUGAGCUUCUACGAAGACCAGACAUUUAUGAUCACGUUUGGUGGGUGUCUGUGUCCCAAGAUUUCACCAUUAAUAGAUUGCAGAAUCUUAUUGCUAAACGUCUUGAUCUAAAACUUUCAAGCGAAGAUGAUGAUCGGCACAGAGCUGCCAAAUUGUCAGAAGAACUAAGAAAGAAACAAAAAUGGAUUCUCAUUUUAGAUGAUUUGUGGAACAAUUUUGAGCCUGACAACGUGGGAAUUCCUGUCUCAUUGAAAGGAUGCAAGCUGAUUAUGACAACUCGAUCAAAAAUAAUUUGUAAUCAGAUGGCUUUCCAACACAAAAUCAAAGUGAAGCCACUUUCUGAGGGUGAAGCUUGGAAUUUGUUCAUGGAGAAACUUGGACGUGACAUAGCACUUUCACUAGAAGUGGAAGGAAUUGCGAGAGACAUUGCAAGGGAAUGUGCUGGUUUGCCAUUAGGAAUUAUUACAGUGGCAGGAAGCUUGAUGGGAGUGGAUGAUCUACAUGAGUGGAGAAAUACAUUGAAGAAAUUGAGAGAAUCAGAAUUUAGGGACAUGGAUGAGAAGGUAUUCCAGGUAUUGAGGGUUAGUUAUGAUCGGCUAGGUGAUUUAGCACUACAACAAUGUCUCUUAUACUGUUCAUUAUUUCCUGAAGAUCAUGUGAUUGAAAGGGUGGAGUUGAUAGAUUAUUUGAUUGACGAGGGAAUAAUUAAAGGAAAGAGGAGAAGGGAAGAUGCAUUUGAUGAGGGCCACACGAUGCUUAAUAGACUUGAAAAUGUUUGCCUAUUGGAAAGUGUUAAAAUGGAGUAUGAUGGUAGUAGAGGUGUCAAGAUGCAUGACUUGAUGAGGGACAUGGCCAUCCAUAUACUGCAAGAGAACCUUCAAUACAUGGUUAAAGCAGGUGCACAAUUAAAAGAGUUGCCAGAUGCAGAGGAGUGGACGGAGAAUCUGACGAUAAUUUCACUAAUGCAAAACGAGAUCGUAGAAAUUCCUUCCAGCCAUUCACCAAUGUGUCCAAAUCUAUCCACUCUACUUCUAUGUCAAAAUCUUUGUUUGCGAAUCAUUGCAGAUUCAUUUUUCAAGCAAUUGCAUGGGCUCAAGGUUCUUGAUCUGUCUUCUACAGCUAUUAAACGUUUGCCAGACUCUGUCUCUGAUUUGGUGAGUCUCACUGCAUUAUUGCUCAUUGAGUGUUACAACUUAAGACAUGUUCCAUCAUUAAAGAAUCUCAGGGCACUGAAGAGGUUGGAUCUCUCUCAUACUUCACUUAAAAAGAUGCCGCAAGGAAUGGACUGUCUAUCCAACCUGAGGUAUCUUAGAAUGAAUGGAUGUGGUGAAAAGAAGUUUCCUAAUAGGAUAUUACCAAAACUCUCUCACCUGCAAGUCUUUGUACUAGAAGAGGUUUUUGAGGGAAGUUAUGCUCCGAUAACAGUUGAAGGAAAGGAAGUAGGAUCCUUGAGAAAUUUGGAAACUUUGCAAUGCCAUUUCGAAGGUCUCCCUGACUUCGUGGAGUAUCUCAGAUUUCGGGAUGUGACCCAAUCAGUAAGCACAUGCAAAAUUUUAGUAGGUAUACUGGAUGAAUUACUUUAUUACGGAAUAACUGAGUGUCCUUUUCCAAGUAAAACAGUUGGGUUGGGUUAUAUGAGUAUCAACAAAGAUAGAGAUUUUCAGGUCAAGUUCUUAAAUGACAUUCAAGGACUGGUUUGUCAUAGCAUCGAUGCAAGAAAUUUAUGUGAUGUUUUGUCAUUAGAGAAUGCACCUGAACUGGAGGUUAUCCAAAUUUGGGAUUGCAAUAGCAUGGAGAUCUUGGUUUCAUCUUCUUGGUUCUGCUCUGCUCCACCAUCAUUGCCAUCAUAUAAUGGUAUGUUUUCUGGUCUUAAAGAGUUUUAUUGUCAUGGAUGUAAAAGUAUGAAGAAGUUGUUCCCACUUGUGUUGCUGCCAAACCUCGUAAACCUGGAAAGGAUUGAAGUGAUGGAUUGUGAGAAAAUGGAGGAGAUAAUAGGAACAGCAGAUGAAGAAAGCAGCACCUCCAAUUCCAUCACGGAAUUCAUUCUCCCAAAGUUAAGAACUUUGAAAUUGUCUGAAUUACCAGAACUGAAAAGCAUUUGCAAUGCAAAACUGAUUUGCAAUUCUCUUGAAGAUAUUACUAUAAUGUUUUGUGUUGAGCUGAAGAGGAUGGCAAUUUCUCUUCCAUUGCUUGAAAAUGGUCAGCCAUCUCCUCCCCCUUCUCUUGAAGAAAUCAUAGUAUAUCCAGAAGAAUGGUGGGAGACAGUAGUGGAGUGGGAGCAUCCUAAUGCAAAGGAUGUCCUUCGUCCCUUUGUAGAGCUUGGUUUAGCAUCAUCCCCGUAGAAGAGGAUUUUGUUUCUCAAAAUAAUUAAUAUGUAUGGUUAAUCCUUUCGUUGUAAGAAUACUAAUCGACUGUAACCUUAAAUUUGCUCAUAUUCAAUAAUAUAUCAUUCUUUCAAUAUUUGUUUGUUAAAAAUCAUGGGCAAAACAUAAUUAUUUUUUAUAUGAAUGAUGAAAAUAGUCCUUUAAAUCAACAAGGAUAUUUUUAUUAAUUAUUAUUGAAAUUACUUGCAUGAUGCUUUUGGAUUAAAGAUCGAUUGCUCAAUGGGUGGAUUUGGGCUGGUGUGAAAUGGAAUUGCCAAUUAUUUUUUAUAUGAAUGAUGAAAAUAAUCCUUUAAAUCAACAAGGAUAUUCUUAUUAAUUAAUAUUUAAAUAGUCCUUUGUCCCUUUGUACCUUUUUUUUUAACUCGAAUGAUAAAUAAUUAUAAUUUGAAGUUUGAUUUAUAUUAUAUUUUCAUCCUAUUGAGUUUCUCCAAGAUGAAAAUCCAAAAAAAAAAAAAAAUACUAUAUUGAUUUAUCAUUAAAGUAACCUAAUAAAAUAAUAUAUCUAUUCACUAGUACAAAUCAUCUUAUAUCAUUAACUAGCAAUAAAUUAUUCUUUUAAAAUAUAUAAUACAGAUUAAAAAAAAUAUCAAAAUGAAGUUUUCUACUAGGGUUGAUGAUGAAUCUCAAGGUUGAAUUGGUUCUUAUGAAGUUUUCUACUAGUGCCUGGUGGUUUUGUCUGAGUAAAAGGGAUAGAUGCUAAGUUAAGGAAGAGAGACAAAAAGUGGAAGGGACAAUUGUGUCGAUUGUUCUCUUGAUCUGAGCUUAUUCUGUAUCAUUUGUUGGUUGCAUUAUACCUUCACCUCCAUACCCAACUCCUCUUCAUCUCUUAUUGUUAAUAAAAAUGUAAGAAUUUAAGAGCAUGAGAGAAUACUUUCACAAUGAAGAUUAAUUCAUCUCCAUAGCAGAAUACAGGAAAUGGAAAAUUAAAUCAAUAAAAGAAAGGUAUUUCAUCGCCAAUGAAUUCAUCUCUUCGAACAUUCUUGAAUUCUGGUCAAUCCAUAUCACAACAAACAUAGUAAACAUGUCAAAAGUAUUCUUCUACCUCAGCAUUGAGAAGAUCAAAUGAGGAAGGCUAAGAUUCUCUUUUAAAUGCCCCUGAGAGAGUAUGAACUGAACAUACAUUUUUUGUUGGAUGAGUUUUGGUUUCUAAACCUGAAACUGCCGUCAUAAGCACUGGCUAGGGAAGUUAGGAUGAGCAUUUCUUGUCAUUAUAUCACUUUUUCUGCUAGGAUAAUGCUGUCUAUAUUCUCUGAUACUAUUGCUUAUAAUCUCCUUGCCUCUGUUAUCUUUUCCAACCCGUUUGAGGAUGCUUUCUAAAUUUUUUUGUUAAAUUGUGAAUUUGUUGUUCACUUGCACAGUUGAACAGGGUUGACCUAGGAAUCCAGGAGUUAUUGGUGAGAGAGGAUUUGGAUCCUUUUCGAAGGAAAGUGAGUGGUUCAACGAUGAUAUUUAAUUAAAAAAAAAUAACAAUGUCUUUUUUAAUAUUAUAUUUUAAAAUAUUUUAUUUUAAAAAAGUUACACAUGAUUGCAAUAAAAAAGAUGUUUUAAUUUGGCAUCAUUGAGCAUCCUCGAGGAAACUAUUAUAGGGUUAUUAAUUUUUAUUAAAAGAAAAGUUAAAAGACAUGAAAGAAUCAUUAUCUAUCCACACUCAUUUCAUUGUAAAUUACAAAAUAAUUCAAGCUUUUUUUUUUGUUUUUUUUAAAUUAUUUUUGUUUAUUUCAAUAUUACACUGGUUCGUAAUUUAUUUAUUUUUAUUUUAUUUUUAUAAGAUUAACAUGAUUUAAAGAUUUAUUAGAAUAAUAUCUUUGCUACUGUAACAUUAUCUUCCACAUCCCAUCUCAUUAUACCAUUGAUUUCCCAAUUUCCCUCAUCAAAUUUCUUAAACCUUUCUGAAGAUCAGUGCUUCCUUUUCUGAUUGAAUCAAAUCAUCUGGAGUUCAACAUCUUGGAACUUUCUUGUUAUUUUUAAACUAUAUAUUCUACUCUGUUCUUGUCUUUUUUGCUGAAUAAUGCUUAAGCAAACCAGGACCUGAAGAACAACUUGAAUCCAGGUAGAUUAUUUAUACUCCAUCUUCUUCAUUUUCUUUUUCACAUGUAACUCUGGUUUGAAUCUUUCAAGGAAACCACAAGUUGUAGAAAUUCUAAUGAGAAACUUUGGAGUUAGGAUCAUCAACAGUUUCCAAAAAUAAAAAUAAUUUAAUCUUUCUCAGUUUUAACAAUCCAUGCCUUAUGGAGUUCAUACUAAUUAAAUUGACCCCAAGUUAACCUUGAAUUCAUUGUUUUUUCUUCUUAAUUUCUUUGCUGUUUGUAACUUAUUAUUUUUGCUGUUUGUAACUUAUUAUUUUUGCUGUUUGUAACUUAUUAUUUUAGUUUCACCUUCCUUUUCCUUUUCCAAUUAAUGUACUUCCAUUAAUUGUUAUUCAAUAUUUUGACCCUUUUUAUCUAUAGGACAAAAUGGGUAGAUCAGAUGAUCCGUUUUGGAAGGAAGUUGAAGAUAUGAAUGAUGGAAGCAUGAAGUGUAAGUUUUGUGGGCAUUUAUUUGCCAAUGGUACUUCCAUUUCGAGGAUCAAAUGGCAUUUAUCAGGAGAGAGAGGGCAUGGUGUUGGCAUUUGUGGUCAGGUGCCUAAAGAAGUUCAAGAAUUAAGCAGCCUUUCUAGCUAUGCAUGGUGGCAACAAAAGACAUAAAAGCAUAGCAAGUUCAAGCAAUGUUAAUGAUUAUGCCAUUUCCACCUGUCCACAAGAACAAGACAAUGCAGUACUUGGUAAUUUGGCACAAGGUGUUGGGCCUGAGAGAAUUCAUUCGCGUGUAGAAGCGGCAAAUAGCAUGGAAUACACUGGUGAAGGAUCUUUUCAGCAUGUUGACAGAAGUGUCUCUCCUUGGGGACUCAGAGUUGAUGCUCGUGAGAAUAGAGGAGAAGCAACACAAAGAACAGAUUUAGUGGAUCAUUUGCUGAUGGUACUUGGGUUCAGAUACACUCUGGCCUUUCAAAGGNNNNNNNNNNNNNNNNNNNNNNNNNNNNNNNNNNNNNNNNNNNNNNNNNNNNNNNNNNNNNNNNNNNNNNNNNNNNNNNNNNNNNNNNNNNNNNNNNNNNCUGAAUGAAAUCUCUACCUAUUUAAUGCAGGAAGAUGAGGAUGUGGAGCGUCUGCAUGAUGCAUUUGAAACUGUACCGAGAACAGAAGAAGUGCAGCAUCUGGAGAGAGGUAGCUCUUGUGAGAGGCCAUCAAUUAAUCAAGCUGAUGAGCCUCGAGGAGAUUCAUCACAACCAACAGAUUCAUUGUGUCUUGAUCAUGGAAGAUAUUAUGAUCAACUAUUUACUCCGUCAAUAAACAAUGAUGUCAUUAUGAAUGAUGUGCAGAACAUGGUUAGAGUGAGGACAGAACCAUUGGAGGAGGAGGAUGUGGAGAAUAGUGGAAGUUCAGUAGUGCAGGCUGGCGCGGGAGCUAGAUCUUCUGAAAGUCUGAAAUACAACUAGAGGAGUUCCAUUACCUACUAGCUCUACAAAGCCAGUGGGUCAAGCAUUUGAAGAGAAUAUGAAGGUGAUAUGGUCUUUGUUAAUGGAUGAUAAAGUCCCAAUCAUUGGCAUUUAUGGGAUGGGAGAAGUUGGUAAAACGACAAUACUGCAACAUAUUCAUAAUGAGCUUCUACAAAAACCAGAUAUUUGUAAUCAUGUUUUGUGGGUGACUGUCUCUCAAGAUUUCAGCAUUAAUAGAUUGCAGAAUCUUAUUGCUAAACGUCUCUAUUUAGAUCUUUCAAGUGAAGAUGAUGAUCUGCAUAGAGCUGCCAAUUUGUCAGAAGAACUAAGGAAGAAACAAAAAUGAAUUUUCAUUUUAGAUGAUUUGUGGAACAAUUUUGAGCUACACAAAGUGGGAAUUCCUGUCACGUUGAAAGGAUGCAAGCUGAUUUUGACAACUCGAUCAGAAACAAUUUGUCAUCGGAUUGCUUGCCAACACAAAAUCAAAGUGAAGCCACUUUCUGAGGGUCAAGCUUGGAAUUUGUUCAUGGAGAAACUUGGACAUGACAUAGCACUUUCACCAGAAGUGGAAGGAAUUGCGAGAGAUAUUGCAAGGGAAUGUGCUGGUUUGCUAUUGGGAAUUAUUACAGUGGCAGGAAGCUUGAUGGGAGUGGAUGAUCUACAUGAGUGGAGAAAUACAUUGAAGAAAUUGAGAGAAUCAGCUGAAUUUAGGGACACGGAAGUAUUCAAGUUAUUGAGGUUUAGUUACGAUCAAUUAGGUGAUUUAGCACUACAACAAUGUCUCUUGUACUGUGCAUUAUUUCCCGAAGAUAGUGAGAUUGAAAGGGAGGAGUUGAUAGGUUAUUUGAUCGAUGAGGAAAUUAUUAAAGGAAUAAGGAGCAGGAAAGAUGCAUUUGACGAGGGCCAGACGAUGCUUAAUAGACUUGAAAAUGUCUGCCUAAUGGAAAGUGUUAAAAUGGAGUAUGAUGGUAGUAGAAGUGUCAAGAUGCAUGACUUGAUUAGGGACAUGGUCAUCCAUAUACUGCAAGAGAACCUUCAAUACAUGGUUAAAGCAGGUGUACAAUUAAAAGAGUUGCCAGAUGCAGAGGAGUGGACGGAGAAUCUGACGAUAGUUUCACUAAUGCAAAACGAGAUCGAAGAAAUUCCUUCCAGCCAUUCACCAAUGUGUCCAAAUUUGUCAUCUCUACUUCUACGUGAUAAUGAAGGGUUGCGAUCUAUUGCGGAUUCAUUUUUCAAGCAAUUGCAUGGGCUCAAGGUCCUCGAUCUGUCUUGCACAGUUAUUAAAAAUUUGCCAGAGUCUGUUUCUGAUUUGAUGAGUCUCACUGCAUUAUUGCUCGAUGGUUGUUGGAAGUUAAGAUACGUUCCAUCAUUAAAGAAGCUCAAGGCACUGAAGAGGUUGGAUCUCUCUUGGACCAUGCUUGAAAAGAUGCCGCAAGGAAUGGAAUGUCUAUCCAACCUGAGGUAUCUUAGAAUGAAUGGAUGUGGUGAAAAGGAGUUUCCUAAUGGGAUAUUACCAAAACUCUCUCACCUGCAAGUCUUUGUACUAGAAGAGGUUUUUGAGGAAUGUUAUGCUCCGAUAACAAUUAAAGGAAAGGAAG